rnacentral:lncRNA from 1 species
CGAACAAAUCUAGAAAGGGUUUGAAUACACAGUUCAUCAAAUCCAUGAACACUACUGGGGCAUUAGUCAAACCGUAUGACAUAACACAAAAGUCAAAGUGCUUGUAUCUGGUCCUGAAUGCUAUCUUCGGAAUAUCCUUUUGCUUAACCCUUACCUGAUGGUACCCGGACCUCAAUUCUAUCUUUGAGAAACACUUGGCACCUUGUAGCUGAUCAAAUAAAUCAUCAAUCCUCAGGAGAGGGUACUUAUUCUUGAUUGUCACCUUAUUCAAUGGUCAAUAAUCAAUACACAUCCAUAAUGAACCAACUUUAUUCCUCACAAAUAACAUAGGUGUUCCCCACGGUGAUGUACUAGUCUAAUAAAGGCUUUUUCAAGCAAGUCCUUUAGUUGUUUUUUCCACUCUUUCAGCUCUGCGGGGGCCAUUCUAUAGGGUGGAAUAGAUAUUGGCUGAGUAUCUGGUAGUAGGUCAAUAGAAAACUCAAUUUCUCGCUCUGACGGAAGACCUUGAAGCUCAUCGGGAAACUCAUUAACCACAGGUAUGGACUGAAUGGUUAGUGACUCUACUUCCGUAUCCUGAACCCGAACUAAGUGAUAAAUAUAGCCCUUUCUAAUCAUCUUCCUUGCCUUGAGACAUGAAAUAAAUCUACCUUUUGGCGAUGCCGUAUUAUCUUUCCAUUCCAAAACAAGAUCCUCUUGAAAUUGGAAUCGGGCCAUCUUUAUUCUACAAUCAACGUUGGCAUGACAAGAAGCCAACCAAUCCAUACCCAUUAUAACAUCAAAUUCUACCAUAUAUAACUCGAUUAGGUUCGCUACUGUAGAUCGACUAUGAACUAUUAUUAUACAAUCUCUAUAUACUCGCAUAGCUAUCACUAGGUCCCCAACAAGUAUGGACACCUUGAUAGGUUUAACCAACUCAGGUUUUAUUCCAAACUUCCUAGCAACCAACAGAGUAACAUAUGAUAAGGUGGAACCAGGGUCAAUCAAUGAAUAUACAUCAUACGAGGAGACUGAUCAUAUAUAUGUAACAACAUCGGGUGAUGAUUUUUGAUCCUAUUGUCCAGCUAACACAUAAAUGCGGUUCUGAGGGCCGCUCGAGCUAGAUGUUCUGCCUCUGCCUCUACCACAAUCAAUUGGUGCUUGUGAACCUUUUCUAGGGGGCGUACUGAUGAUAACAAACCAGCUACAGAUCCCGCUGGCUAAGCUAUGCUUGCAUCACCUCUCAUCGGAUAAUCCCUCAUAACGUGGCCUGGAUAACCAUACGUAUAACAAACACCCAAGCCCACAUGGGAUUGCCUGAUAUGCUUCUUACCACACUUAGCACAUCGCGGUAAGGGCGGCCUCAUCUGACUUGACUCGCCCCUCUACCGAGAACUUGAGGCCCUAGAAUUCUGACCAGGCCCUGAAUAUAUGGAAUGAUCAAAUCUCUUACUAGAAAACUGAGGGGGUGUGCUAGCCAAUGGCUGGGCUGGAUACCUUGGUUAUUGUUGUCUCUAACCACCUCAAAACUCACAAGAAGGACUCAAAGACCGUGCUCUCUUAUUCUAGGCCCUAUCAUGCUCACGAUCGGCCUUCUGUUUCUGCAUACGCUCUUCUACACCCUGAGCGUAUGCCUGAAUACGAGAAAUAUCCAUGUUUGACUAAAGUGAGACCGACAUACAAUCAUUAAGCAAAUGCGGCUCUAACCCCAUCACGAAUCGCUGAAACCGAUCCUCCAUCUUAGAUACAAUAGUGGGAGCAUAGCUAGCCAAAGAAUCAAAUUGAAAUCUGUACUCCCGAACACUCAUAUUACCCUGCUGAAGGGUCAACAACCUAUCAACUCUGGCCCACCUAAUCUUUGGUGGCAAAUAAUGGUGAAAAAAAGCUUUUGUAAACUCCUGCCAUACUUCUGGAGGGACAUCCUCACCUCUAGACAACUCCCAAGACUCGUACCAAUUAACUGCAAGAUCUUGGAGUCUAUAGGAUGCUAGCUCAACUAACUCAGUCACAGUGGCCUUCAUUACCCUAAAAGUCCUCUGCAUUCUAUCAAUAAAUACCGGAGGGUCCAAAUUAAUGAAAUCACAAACCCUCGCACUGACAGAUCUAUCUGCAUGACCAAUUCCUACCUCAUGACGUCGAGCAUGUGCGGCUACUAAUCGAGUUAAUAGCUAAAUAACAUCUCUCAUCUCCUGACCCGGUGCAUCUGGUUGAGGAGCUGGACGUACAGGGGCAGGAGAUGGAGCUGGUGCCCCUCGGAGCUCUUCUGGAGAGGGCGGAGUAUAUGAAGUUUGAGAUGGAAUCUCACUAUGAGCCCUUGUAACUCGUGGCGCUCGACUUGGGCGACUAUAGUCUUCGGAGGCAUCGUUGAAAACAUAACAUGUCGUUAGGAACAUGAAUUCUUAUAUCACACGAUCUAAGAUAAGAAGAGAGGAUAACAUCCUAUAUGUCUUGUAGUCUCCUAUCCAGAAGUGUGGUGCACAACACACCCAUAAACAAGACUCUACUAGACACGGUCUAUAGACAACCCCAGGACAGAACUGCUCUAAUACCACUUUUUUCACAACCUAAACCCAUGGGCCUUGAUGAGUGCCUGAUUCCUACCUGUCGAACACCCUUAAGCAUGCAUCUAAGAUAUAAACAUAAAUAAUAUCUGUUGAACUAUGAGAAUACAAUACGUGAGUAAACCUAUCAAAAAUACAUAUAUGCAUACACGUGUGAAAUAUAUAGGGUAAGCCGACAAGGUUGCUAUAAACAACUACAUAUCCAAAACUAGAAGCCGACAAGGCCACAUACUACCCAACUAUACAUGACUAUCUACUAACCUCUAAUAGAAUAUACAAUUGUACAAGGAUGGGACUGGGCCUCGUCAUACCCAUAUAUGUAUACAAACAUAUCGUACAAAAAUUUAAAGCAGCUCCGGAUCAAAUGGAGCACACCAACUGUCGUUGAUCAAGGAUCCUAAGAAGGGGGGUCGUCUGAUUGUCUACCUACACUUACGGAUAUAAAACACAUGCCCCGAGAAAUAGGGCAUUAGUACGAAUAAUGUACUGAGUAUGUAAGGCAUAAAAUCAGUACAUAAAAGACAUAGAUAAAACAUGAAAUAAAGACUUUAGAAUGUAAGUCUAAAUAACUUUGUAAAUCAUGAAAUAUUUAUAAUGUCAUGCAUGUGCGUAUAAAUGUUGUGUCAUGCAUGUGUAUAGGUGUUAAUCAUCAAGCCUCUGAGGGCAUUCCAUCAUAUCAUCUCGGCCACUGUUGGCAAAAGCAUCAACUUAUACCAGCAGAUCAGGUGGUGGUGCAUAUAUAAUGUCAUAACCUUUUCUCAUAUCCCAUAUAUAGAUAAUAUAUGCAUAUAUAACGUCAUCUGGUUAUGGGUCAAUGUACAUAUAUAAAUGAAUGAAAUGCAUAAGAAAUAUGUUAAUAAGAUUUUCUCAGAAUGUUAUAAUAUUACUAUACUUUUCGGAUAACUUUAUCAACUACAUACUUUUAUAAGACCUAUGAAUAGGAGAUAUAAUGAUAAUUCACAUAGGAAAUCAAGAGCAUUGGCAUCCUUAGUAAUUAUAUGAAUAGAGUCUUUUACAAAAGGUGUGCAUUUACUCGUUUCAUUUGAAUUGUAUGGAUCAUGCCCAAAAGAAAGAAGGGAUAGCCUUAACAUACCUGAACUGAUUCUCUUGACAAUCCCUAUAACCCACGACAAUCACGACAAAACACGUGACGGCAGGACUGGAGUAGGAAAAAAUCCAUAUGAUAUUCUUGAGAAACAUUAUACCAGGCUUUCUUAGAAUUGCAAACAAAUAUCAUGCUGCUAAGAUGUAAUUUGUGUUUGAACUAUUGUUGAAGACCGUAGCUAACAUCUUUGAUAUAAGCACCUUUCUUGAAUUUAGAGGGGUCUUAUGCUUUAAUGGGUGUGGGCGCCACAUUUCAAGAUUGGUGUCACAUAACACCCUUAAAUGUGCCACCUUUCACUCUCUUGUAAGAGUCAUUACAUUGGAAGGGGGUUCUGCCACAUUGGGGUUUUUUGAUUAUCCAAAGAUUUUAAUUAACCUCCCACUAAAAAUUAUUAAUUACUCAAUUAUCCACAUAAUUAAGUAUUAUCUCAAAUUACUUAAAAUACUACUCACUUUUAACAUACUUUAUGUACCCUACUACCGUGGUUAUGGGGUCCCCUAUAUGGCACUAGUCCAUAAAUACCGAGUAUUAUAGCUCGUACCAUAUCUAUCACAUAUUCACAAACUUCGAAAAAACUCACUUUCUUUGAUUUGUUUACCUUUUAACCUUCAUGAAACUUUCUUAUCGCUUGUUAUAAAUAGCAUAAAUACUUAUAACCUCAAGAUAAUCUCAUCCUCGAGUCUACGUCGGUUAACUAAAGAUGGAACUUUAACAUAUGAAAACACGAGACGUAACAGAUUCCACUUGAUACUGCCACAUCUUAGGCUGGGGGAGGAGCCCAGACUCCCAUAGCCCGUACCCAGAGUAGUGGGUCCAGGUUAACUAGGUCCUAGAGGUCAUACCAGUACAGCUGAUUAUCCCAGUUCAGUCCGAGGUUAGGAUAGCAGCUUCUAAAAGGGAGCAACUCAGGCUCGAUAGGUACAAGAAGUACUACCCUCCUACUUUCAAUGGUUUGGCUUCUGAGGAUGCUCAAAUUUUUCUUGAGGGUGCCACCGUAUCCUCCGUACUAUGGGUAUUGUAGAGUUGAGUGUGGUUGCUUUCACUACAUUACAGCUUAAGGGAGCGACUUAUCAGCAGUGGCGAGUGUAUGAGUUGGGUAGCCCAGCCAAGGCAGCUUCACUCACAUGGGCUCAGUUCUUAGAGAUGUUCAUGAGGGAGUUUGUUCCCAGAGUAUUAGGAAUGCAUGGCGUGCAAAGUUUGAGUAGUUGCGCUAGGUUUCUAUGAUUGUAUCGGAGUAUGUUUUGAGGUUCAACGAGUUUUUCCGACAUGCACCAGCUUUAGUCUCUGCAGUCAGAGAGAGUUUGUCUAUUUAUCGAGGGGCUCAACCACAAUAUUAGAUUCAUCAUGGCUCGAGAGUUGGAUAUUGACAUCCCAUACAAGCAGGAAGUGGAGAUUGCUUAGAUAUUGGAGGGUAUGUGGGCCCGGGAGAGAGAGGAGAGGGAGGCCAAGAGGCCUCAAGAUUCUGGCACAUAUACUGGUGCCCGUGCCCCAGUUGUAGCCCACUAUGGUAGGGGAUAUGUGGAAGCGGUAUUCCUGCUAAUCCCAGGCCUCAGGUUUCUCAUUAUGCACCGCCUCUGUCUAGUGCACUGGGGUGCUUCCAUCGGUCAGACCAGCCAACCAGGCCUAAGCCAGUCUCAACAUUUACGUCCUCCAUGAGCUUAUUUUGAGUGUGGUUACACUCGUCAUGAGGUGAGGGAUUUCCCCAGGCUUAGGAGGGGUGAACCUUCACAUACUAUUCAGGCUCCACAUAUUCCACAGGGCCCUUAGGCUUCUCAGAUCAUGGUUACCGCAGAAGUUGUCACUCUACCUACACAUCCAGCCAGGGGUGAAGGUUAGGCAGGUAGAGGUCAUCCUAUAGGGGGAGGCCAGGCCAGAUGUUAUGCUCUUCCUACUAGGACGGAGUCGGUUGCAUCUGACUCGAUCAUCAAAGGUAUUGUUACGGUUUAUCAUAUAGAUUCAUCAGUCUUAUUUGAUCCAAGCUCCACUUAUUUCUAUGUAUCAUCUUACUUUGCUCCAUAUUUGGGUAUAUCCCAUGAUUCCUUGAGUUCUCCCGUUUGUGUGUCCACGUUAGUGAGAUAUUCUAUUAUUUUUGACUGUGUGUAUCGUUCAUGUUUAGUUGUUCUUGGUGGUUUUUAGACCAUAGUCGACCUAUUGUUGUCAAGUAUAGCAGAUUUUGAUGUUAUCAUAGGUAUGGAUUGGUUGUUGCCCUAUCAUGUUGUCACACCUCCUUUUUCCUACCCCGAAAGGGGUAUAAGGGAGUUUUACUAAUUUAAGUGAAAAUCUAAACGAGAUUUAUUUAUAUUAAAAUCAGAGUCGCCACUUGGGAUAAUUUAUGGUAUCCCAAGUCACCGAUUUAAAAUCCCGAAUCGAGGAAUGUUUGACUCUAAUUACGGUCUGCGAACACAGAAAUCCAGGUAAGGAAUUCUGUUAAUCCGAGAGAAGGUGUUAGGCAUUCCGGGGUUUCGUGGUUGUAGCAUGGUCGCUUAAAUAUUAAUAUUGGCCUAAUUAACUGAUUAAUUACACAUUUUAAACCUACGUGCAUUUUAACUUUCUAACCGCUUUUAAUUUUUUUAGGAAAAUUCAUGAUCGUCAUACACUUAUUUGUUUUUGAAAACACAUCGUAAACCACACUACAUGAAAUGCACCCGCGGUUCACGGCAUAUUUAUUUUAUUUAACAUUAUUGGAAAUUGAAGUCGGGUCACAUGAAAUGCAUACCUGGAUUUAUAACAUGUUUAUUUCAUUAUUAUUAUUCAAAAUUAUGGUAGGGUCACAUGAAAUGCACACUCCAGCCCUUUAAUCUAAUUUGACGUAGUUCAGUUGAUGAAUAGCAACCUAAUUUCUAUACUGUGAUGAAAUCACGUUCAGCUAUAACCAAUUCGAGUAAACAUACGAGCAUAUAGCUAAGUGAGCAAAUUCAAAACUACGAAGAACAAUUACAGAAUCAACGGGAUCAUAUCACCAAACAAAUAAUUAAUAUCAAGCUUGCAUAAAACAAAUAGAGGAUGAAAGAGUUGAACCUCAAUAUAGCCGGACAAUUGAUUGUUUCACUACUUUGAACUCAAAAUGUAACAAACAGCAGACGGAACUCGAAUUUGCAUCGGAAAAUUAAAAACCGAACGGAACUCAACCAAGCUCGGAUUCAAAACCAUAAUUUAACAAAAGUUCAUUCUUGAACACCAAGAAAACAGAAUCGAAAAAUGAAAAACAUGAAUGUAAUUUUUUAUUUUCCCCGUCUUCUGUCCUUUUUGUUUUUGUUAUUUUUGGUUUUUUUUUAUUUACAGAUCUGUAUUUGCUCCUCCUUGUUGUUUCUUUUAAAUUUUCUAACUCCUUUUCUUUCAUCCAAUCCCUCAUGUUCGUGCAUGACUUCCCCCUUUAAUCCUUUGUUUUUUUGUUUUGUCCAUUCCUUUGUCUUUUGUAUUUGUGUGUGUGUGCACAUUGCUGAGCAGUAAAGAGGUGUGGAUAGAAACACAGGGUCAGCCUAGCGGUGGGAAGCUGGUGACGAGGCGGCUGCUCAUUUUUUGAAAGUGUGGACUGGUCAUUUGGUUUCAAGAGGAGAUUCGGGGGAUCUGGUUCGAGCUCGAGCUUUGGAUCUAGAAAUGGUGGUCGUUUUCAGGUGGUCCAGUUGCUAUUUCCAGCAAGUCAAAGGCUAGCAGCGGCUGUGUGUACUGAUGAAGAAGACAUUUGCGGCUGCUUUGGUGAUGAAGAGAGGUGGGGCAUGGCUGACGUUGGUGCGUGCUGGUGGCGUAGGCUGCUAUGGAGGGUUGGCGUUGUUGAGAAGAGGAGGCUGGUUUUUUGGUGUUAGAGGUACUAGGUCUGUUAGGGUUUUGUGAUGGAGAAGAUGAAGGAGCUUAGGUCCCUAGGGUUUUUUGGUUGUCUUCAUUAGGAAGAUGAAGGGUCUCUAUCAUGUAAAAAAAUGGCUCCUCCUAAAGUCUAGGUCUAGGUUAGUUUUUGUAACUUUUUCUAUGGCUUUAGGGGUAUUGGGCUUGGGUUGUUAUGGGCUAGGUCCGAAAAAUAGGCCUAAAAAUGGGUCGUUUGAGCCCAAAUUUUAUUCUUUCUCCGUGAACAACACUAAAAGCCUACCUUAUUUACUAAUUAAUCUUACUUAAAUAAAAUAACUAUUAAAAUAAGACUAGUCAUUAAAACAAACAUAGUUUUUUGGUAUUUUCAUAUAAAAAUAAGGUACUAUUUUUUGUAUUUUUUAGUUUUACGAAAGGUAUAUAAACUAAAAGGAACUCAAAAGAAGAAAUAUUUUUGUAAUUUCAUUUUUUGAUAAUAUAAAGUAAAAGAGUCAAAACUAAUCGAAAUAUCGAUAUUAGGCCUAAACUAAAUAUUUUACGCUAAAAUGGGUGAAAUCUCGGGGAGGGUCAAAAAUCACAUGUCUACAGCUGCCCUCUUUGACUGGAAAAGCAAAGAGUUUUCAGACAAAGAACGACUAGACAGGUUUUUUUGACCCAACCCUUAUUUAAGGAGACCAAAAACUAAGAGGAAGGAGAAUGUGACCGAGCCCUGGUAUUUGAGCUACCUACAUAUAAGGGGCUAUAAAGGAAUCAGUCCACAUGUAGUUCAAAAUUAGGAACAGUGAUGGAGUACCGAGGUGGAGAGCAGAUUGAGGUGCCAUCGAGGUUCCGGUCCGCGGUUCCUGUUAUUACAUCAAAAUCAAAAUGAAAAAGACUAACUAAGCUUGUCAACUACGAGUUACAAGAUUCCUAUCUAUAAGUCUUUUGAAACUUGAUCUUGAGUCUUGAGUGGUUCUUCAUGCAGACUUUAGAUUUGAACCUUGACGCUUGCUAGCUGCAGGUGCAAGUUCAUUCUUCUUCAGUUUUUUUGGAUCAAGAUCGGACAUGCAGUGCUUGUGACCUCAGCCAUGUCUUGAGCAGCUCACAUUUUUCAUCUACUUCUGCAUUUGGAUUCAAUUCUUGCUUUUCCUUUCUUUUUUUUAUUCUGGAUUGUGACUAACUUUUGUUGAUCAUCUUGGACUGUUGACUCGCAUUCUUGCCGCAAGCUUCUGCUAUUUCUAACUUGAAUUGAAUUCUGAAAUGACUUCCCUUGUUCUCCAGGUGGGCGCCUAAUUGUCAAAACUUGAAUUGUAUUCCCUUGUUCUCCAGGUGGGCGCCUUAUUGCCAAAACUUUAAAUGUAUUCCUUUGUUCUCCAGGUGGGCGCCUAAUUGCCAAAACUUGAACUGUAUUCCCUUGUUCUCUAGGUGGCCGCCUAAUUGCCAAAACUUGAAUUGUAUUCCCUUGUUCUCCAGGUGGGCGCCUGAUUGCCGAAACUUGAAUUGUAUUCCCUUGUUCUCCUGGUGGGGGCCUGAUUGCCAAAUACUUGAACUGUAUUCCCUUGAAACUUGGACUACUUUCCUUCGAAACUUGAACUGUCUUCCCUUGUUCUCCAGGUGGGUGCAUGAUUGCUGAACUUGACCCGUCUUCCUUCAAAACUACUUUCCCUUGAAACUUGAGAUAAUUCCGAAACAAAUUUCCUUGUUCUCCAGGUAGGUGCCUGCAAUCAAAACAAUAAAACAAACAAAACUUUUUGCCCCAGUUUGCACUCGGAAGAUUUGUGAGUUGUUAGGAAAACUGUAAACCACUUAUGCUAUUGAUGCAAUGGUGAAAGUAAACUAGAGACUCGACUAGGAUGUGCAUCUCCUGUCAGUAAGACCAAGAAACUUUGACCAGCAAAAUGCGUCUGCUAAAAAUAAAACCUAAAAGACCCAGAUCAGGAAGUGCAUCUCAUACAGGUAAAACUUGAAUGAACCAAACUAGGAAGUGCGUCUCCUAAGGUUGAAACUUGAAUGAACCAAACUAGAAAGUGCGUCUCCUAGGGGUAAAACUUGUAUGACUCAUACUAGGAAAUGCGUCUCCUAGGGGUAAAACAUGUAUGACUCACACUAGGAAGUACGUCUCCUAGGGGUAAAAUCUCAAUUUAGGAAGUGCGUCUCCUCAAACAAAAAUAUAACCUGAAAUACCCAGACGGGGAAGUGUGUCUCCUAAGGGUGAAACUUCAAUGACUCCAAACUAGAAAGUGCAUCUCCUAGGAAUGAACUAUCCAUUUAGGAAGUGCAUCUCCUAGGGGUGAAACUUCAAUGACUCAAGCUAGGAAGUGUGUCUCCCAUGAAUGAACUUAAAUGACCCAAACUAGGAAGUGCGUCUCCUAGGGGUAAAAUCUCAAUUUAGGAAGUGCAUCUCCUAAAAUAAAAUAUAACUUGAAAGACCCAGACUAGGAAGUGCAUCUCCUAGGGUAAAAAUUUCAAUGACUCAAACUAGGAAGUGCAUCCCCUAGGAAUGAACUCAAAUGAACCAAAUAGGAAGUGCGUCUCCUAGUGGUAAAAUCUCAAUUUAGGAAGUGUGUCUCCUNANNNNNNANNNNNNNNNNNNNNNUUAAACAAAAAUAUAACUUGAAAGACCCAAGCUAGGAACUGCGUCUCCUAACGGGUAAAACUUAAAUGAUUCAAACCAGGAAGUGCGUCUCCUAGGGGAAAACUCAAUGUUGGAAGUGCAUCUCCUAACAAAACAUAAUUUGAAAGACCCAGGCUAGGAAGUACGUCUCCUAGGGGUGAUGUGUGAUCUUCUCAAUAGCCUUUACGUAAGCAGAACUGGGGCAUUACACCUAAAAAAUUCAAGCUUCCAAGCUUUGAUAUGAAUAUAGCUUUCAUCCCUGUUUCAGACAAAGAAAACUUGUAUGGUGGUUGGUUUGUGGCCUUGACUUUGAGGGCGAUUGCUCCUUCACUUGCCAUGAUAACUUUGAUUUCAACUUGAAAGACAUUGCUUGUUUAUUGACUAACCACUUUCUCUGUCACCCUUAUCAUAGACAAUACCUCUGAUUCAUUCAAACUCAAUACCUUCUAUCUGUUGCAUUUUGCUCAUGAAUUUACCUAUACCGAACUGUUGUAUUUUACAUGAAUCCCAAAACAUGUUGAUUGUUGCCAACUUAGUGCGCCUACUACUCUUUAUUGACUUAUGUCACUUUGAUGUGCUAGCCAGACUCCAUUUGUGCAAUUGGAAAGCUGGUAGCAAAUUUUGAAAUCACUUCUCACUUGUUCUGACCAAACAGACACAUGAAGAGGACGUAAACAAGACAAAAGGAACAGAGUAAAUGACAAUGGAAAGAGAUGAUUCCUAACAAGAAAAGUACAAAGUAGAAACUUAUCAGAUGUGGAUACCAACUCUAAUGACCAUGACAUGCACAUUUGGAUUAUGUGGCCUAAUUCGUCAAGCAAGUCUGAUGUUCAACUCUUUUUGUACCCCUACACCGUAAAACUGGGAUUCAAUUCUCCGAUUUUCCAAUCUGAUUCACGAUCCUUAUUCAACUUGUAGUGCCCGAAAGGUUUUCACCAUCAAGCCUCUCUCAUUUUAUUCUUUCUCUCAACUUACCGUCGCCUUAUAGUGCCUGUGAAGGUUUUCAGUGAUAAGACUCUCUCAUUUUUGUUUUCCUUGUGUAGAACGGAAUGUUGCCCCUGAUGUGAAUCAUACCCCUAACUCGCUUGACUUGGAACUACUCAAAGAUUGAUCGGAAGAUCUUUCUUUGGACCUAAUGUUGGCUUUUGGAUAGGAUUAGAAAGAAAGGGCAUCAUAGAGGCUCAAAACAGCUUAAAAGGCUCAAAAUGACAACUUUUGGAAUCAGAUCUCUUACAACAAUCACAACUUCUUCCCCAGUUUCUUUGCUUGUGGACUUUUGAAUUUUUAUUUUGAUGGGACCGAACCAUGAGGCUGCCUACGUAUCCUUAAAAGGAAUCAGGUCGAACGUAGUUCACAACACAUGAAUUGCUUAGUUUUUUUGCGCUUUUAUCUUUUUUUUCUUUUCUCUUUUUUUUCUUUGCUUUUCUUUUCUUUUAUUUUCUUUUCUUUUAUUUUCUUUUCUUUUAUUUUCUUUUCUUUACUCUUUUCCCACUUUCUUCGUUCUCUUUUUCUCUUCUCUUUUCCUCUUUUCUCUUUUUUUUUAUUUAUUUUGUAUCCGUAUUUCUAAACUCUGCUUCUGAUUCCAAAAGAGGGAUACGAAAGAAAAUAAAUAAGGCUCAAAGGGGUAACAAAGGAUAAAGUGUUUAGAUAGCGGAAUAAAAUGUCUUCGUCAUUCCAAUCUUCAAAGCAUGCCAAAUACAAGCAACACAGUUAAACAAACCAAAGAAAUCAUACAUAAUAUCUUUUGACUGCAUCAAAAUUGAUAGCCAUAUACAUACAUUUACCUUCUACAUAUGUUAAAUACAAAGCAACGUUGGAAAACACUCUUGUUACCAACACGACCCCCGCCAAUUUAGGGCAAACUUGCCUUUAGCUUCAGCCCGAUGCGGCAGAAUGCGUUUCAAUACUUGUUGACCCACUUCAAAUUUCUGGGGACGCGCCUUCUUGUUGUAUGCUCUUGCCAUUCUCUUCUGAUACAAUUGACCAUGACACACUACCGCCAGUCUUUUUCGUCAAUCAGACUUAAUUGCUCCAAACGGGUUUUGACCUACUCAUCAUCAUCAAUUUCAACUUCAGUAACAAUCCGAAGGGAUGGAAUUUCAACUUUUAUGGGUAUCACUGCUUCAAUACCAUAUACCAACAAAUAAGGAGUUGCACCUACUAAAGUACGAACAGUACUGCGGUAACCCAGCAAAGCAAAAGGCAAUUUUUCAUGCCAUUGCCUAAAACCUUGUACCAUCUUUCGAAGUAUUUUUAUGUUCUAUCUGCUCUAGUUCACACAAUUCGGGCUUUAAGUGAUCUCAAAAUGCCUUUACUUAUUUUCCUCAAAUGUCCCUAUCAUCUUCAAAAUUGGUGCAUGGCUUCAUGACUAAACUAACUUUUAAGACUAGGCUGAGAAUUACGCGUCCAUGUCAUGUCACUAGAAUCAACAUGAAAAGACUAAAAGGAAAAGAGAGCUAAACAAACUGACUAAAAAUAACAUAAAACAGGAAAUUGCAUUAGAUAGACGGUAAAAGGGUUUGAACAACAAAACAAGUAAAAUAAACUAGGGUUACAACCCUGGAACAAAACCAGACAACACUAAAUGAGCUACUACGACUAAACAAACUAGGCAAAAUAAAAGGAUAUAAGGGUUUGAGUCACAAGAUAAUAUCCGGAUUACAACCCUAAAAAUAACCCAAAUAACAGAAAUGACAAUAAACUAAACCACCAAAACUCCUCCCCAGCUAACCAAAAAAUGGAGCGUCUUUCCAAUUACCAAGUACGACAUCUUAGCCAUUGGGUUCCACAUCAAUAUUGCCAAGACCAUUACCAACUUCAAUAUCAUUAACUUCAGUCAGCAAGUUUCCAAGAGGAUUUGCAUGCUCCUUGUCACUGUCCUUGAUCACAAUUACCCCUUCUUGAAUCAUUCUUUCUAUUUCACUUUUCAAAGCACGAUAAUUUUCAAUGUUAUGCCCUUGGACGUUAGAGUGAUACAUGCAUCGUACAGUAGGAUCAAAACCUUUUGCAUAUGGGUCUGGAGUAUAGCCAAGGAGUGGCUCAAUCAAGCAAAAGUGCUUUAACUUUUAAAACAAGCUUGUGUAGGACUCCCCGAUUGGCGUGAAACUAUUUCUUUACCUUUCCCUGCCCCUAUUUUCUAGGGUUGUUGGGUGCUCAAAAAUGUUGUGAAGGCAAGAGUACAUUAUGCGGUACUGGCGCUCGCCAUGAGGAGUGACCCGGUGGUUGGACAGAUGACCGGACAUUGUUCGGAGGAUAAUACUAAAAUGGAUUAUAUGGAGUUCGAGGAUAGGUUUGGGGUUGGGGUUGAGGUUGAGUAUAUUGGUGCGGCGGACCCGUUGAAUCAUGUCCUGAUCCUGAGAAAACCAUGGCAACAUCAUCAUGUUCCUUCUGACCCAGCAAGCUUCUUGUGUCGUUCUAAAUUACUUGUGAUGUGGCUUUUAAAGCAGAAUAGCUCAUGUUUUUGCUCGACUUCAGCCCAUCUUCUACCAUUUCUCCCAUUUUUACCACAUCAUUAAAAGGCCUACCCACAGCCGAGAUCAAAUGCCCAAAGUAAGUUGGCUCUUGAGCAUGAAUAAAGUACUCGACCAUCUCUUUUUCUUCCAUUGGGGGAUUGACUCUAGCAGCUUGCUCUUUCCAUCUGAGCCCGUAUUCCCUAAAGCUUUCAUUAGGAUUCUUUUCCAUCUUGAUUAAGGACAUGCGAUUCGGGACAAUUUCUAUAUUGUGCUGAAAGUGCCGGGCAAAGACCUGAGCCAUAUCGUCCCAUGUGUACCACCUGCUAACGGCUUGGCGGGUGUACCACUAUAGAGCUGCCCCACUCAGACUCUGACUGAAAUACGCCAUCAAUAAUUUGUCUUUCCCACCGGCACCUCUCAUCUUACUGCAGUAACCUCUCAAAUGGGCCACAAGAUCUCUGUGCCCAUCAUACAAAUCAAACUUUGGCAUCUUAAACCCAGCAAGAAGUUGGACGUCAGGAAACAAACACAAGUCUUUGUAAGACAUGCUUAUCUGGCUCCCUAUCCCUUGCAUGUUUUUUAGAGACUUCUCUAAGAUUUUCACCUUCCUGGAUAUCUCAUCUUGCUCCACUGUUUUAGCAGGCUUUUCAGUUUCACCGGGAGGCUCAAAAUAAGGAGCGUGAGAGAAUGGAUCCGAGACUUUGAAAGUUGGUUCUGAAGCAUAGUGUUUGGAAUCGGGGACUUUGAACACAGUCUCAUUAGAGGAUCGAGCAAAGGUAGCAGGUGGAUGAGCUACCAAAACAUGAGUGGUCAAAGAAGCGGGAUACGAGGUGGUUCUGGGGGAUGGUGUGUGAAAAGGUUGUGGGGAGAUAUUAGCAGCAGUGGAAAUCUGGAUUUGUGAUAGUGGUGGGAUAGUUGGAGGGUUUUCAGUGUAGUUAGUGGGAAAUGAAUGUAGAGGAUGCCCCUUGAUCCAAGAUUGAUAUAUUUCUGCCAUCUGUUGUUUCAACAUUUGGACCUCCCCUUUCAAUUUAGACUCCAACUCCACAAACUCCAUCGACGGGUCAACAACUCUUGUGUCCAGGUCUUUGCUAGUCAUGGCUACCUUGCUCUUUGGCCUUGUGUUGUAUGGAUGAGUUACCUUAAGAACCACAAACCAACCACCCUUCUGCUCAAUGGAGAUAACAAAAAGGAACAAAAUGAGGUCAUCAAGUUAGCGUUAGGGCAUAUAACAAAUGCAAAUAUCACAUUGUGUGCAAUGCACCUAGCAACAAUUAACAGUCCAAAAAUGACUUCGAGGGUCACAAGGUCACUUGGCAUCAUCCCAAUUUGUUCAUUUCAAUCUUCUCUUUUCUUUUCUUUUUUGGCAUUUCUUGGCUUGCUCAUUUUCCUUCCUCUUUUUUCUUCUAGUUAUCACUCUUUUCUUUUCUCUCAUUUCUCACAUCCCAUAAUUUCAACUCUUUUUUCUCUUUUUUUUGUUUCAUUCUUUUAUCCUUUUUCUUUUAAUAAAAAUAAAUUCGAUCGAACCCUAUGUAGGUUGCCUACGUAUCAUGACGCUGCAUGAAUAAGAUCUUUGCGUAGUUCGGGAAGAUCGGGAAUAAAGUAAACAAACUAACGUUCUCUUUUCUUUUUUUUUUUUCUACCUUAAUGACUACUCUGAUGAGAAAAGAGAAAUAAAAGAAGCAAAUCACUUUUUUUAUGAAUUUUCUAGAAUUAAUGUUCUAUAACCUAUUCUAAACUCAAGCUCGUAUAUAUUUUUUCUCUUUCUCUUUUUUUUUUGAAACAAAUACUCUAUGGGAUGUCACGCCCCAAAAUCCGAAGAGCACGACCGGCGCUCAACCGAGUAAACCCGACUGAGCAAUCCUGUUAGGUUUCAUUCUACCCAAGCCAACUCAUAAUUAAAUAGGAGAUGGACUCCAUUGUUCAGAAUUAGUAAGUAUUUCAUUAACAACUUCCCAUUUCAUUUCCAUUAGCAACUUAAGUCAUAAUUAUCAAAGUAUUACAAGUUUUAUAAAUCUUUAGCAAACAUCAAUAUUUCUAUUUUAAAUCCAAUACCCGGCACUACCCACAACCUGUCUACGGAGCCUCUAAACAUAACUAAAGAGUAAUGUAAUAUGGAAAUGCCGGUAACAAGGCUCCAGCUAUACCUCAAAUACAAAGUACAUGAUAAACAGAUGAAUCAGGACCCCGAAAUGAAGUGGGGCUCACCAAGUCAGCUGAAAGGAUGAUGCGACUCUAGCUGCGACCAACAUUGCCUGCUAUAGAAAUACCUACAUCCAUUUAAAGACGUAGCGCCCACGGCAAAAGGGACGUUAGUUCCAUCGAAUAGCACUAGUAUGUAUAACUAAACACCAUCUAGUUAGAAAGAACUAUCAUACCAGAACAAGAAAUCAUAAACACCUUCUCAUUAGAAAGAACUAACAAACAAGAAUAAGGAAAUCAUAAAGGUUAAUUAAGAGCUUUAACAAUCACCACAUCAUCAAAAAAACGAACCAUGUAAUCUUUCACAUAAUUUCCAUGACAUUAGUUCAGUCACUUGAUAUUGUUCAUCAUCAUUCAUAAUACCACCGCUUUCUUGAGUGGAGUCCGAUCACGACCCGAUCGGCUAGGUCGCCUCAUUUGAGACAUGUACCUCAAUCACAAUCUCAUUCUCAAUUUUCGGAGUUCAAUAUCAGCACAAUACCACCAUGUGUGCGGCAUGGUGUCUGAUCACGGCCCGAUCGGCUAGGCCGUCUUACCAAGACAUUGUUCCUUUCUCAUUAGUCAUCUCAUUUCAAUCUUUAUUUCACAUAUAUCAUUUAAUAGGCACCUGGUGCCACAAUUAUCACCUCAUACUUGGCACUAGGCCAUAUUUCAUAAUUCAAUCUCUUCUCUCCCACAUUUCACAUUAUUUCCACAUGUUUCACAUCAAUAUCAAUUUCAACAACAAGCCAUUCAAUUCAAGAUGUCAAGUACACAUAAGAGGAAUCAUGAAUAAUGGGCAUAUGCAAUAUUUCAGAAAUCAUACACCUCAAGUUUAUUAACAUUGGAACUUUAAACACAACGGAUUCUUCCAAAAAGGAGAGGACACAGCAUACCGCAAUAAAACACACAUCAAAGGCAUAAGCAAACAAUUACACCAAUUGUUCUUAAAUUACUGUUUUUCAAUCAUGACAAUAUACAAUUUCAACAUCGAAGUAUGUAACAACCCGGAUCACAUUAGAUGUACUCAUAAGGCAAAACAUUAUCUCGGACAACCACUUAUGGCAUAAAUUGUGUACAAAGCCUUUAGGACACUUUAUUAUUGGAGUCAUUUAUGGAAAGCAAAGUCGAGGCUCAUUUCAUAAUCUGUUUCAUAUUUUCUCAUGUCAUAGGCAUCACCAGGUACAAUUAUAAUUCAAGUUCUCAGUACAUUGGCCACACUCUAUUUCCCAAAUUCGUUUGAUUACUUCAAACAUCUUCAUACAUAGAGGAUUUCAUAUAGUAUUGGCAUAACAUUUUCAAUUUAAACUAGACUUUAAACCUAGGCAUUUUAGCACAUAGUUCACAUUCUUCACAUAUCCUCAUUUACCAAGAAUCACACAUUAAAUAUAUGAAUAUGUACCUACCACAUACAUUUUCACAACAUUAAUUCGCUAAAUAUUACCAAAAGCAAGUACUGCAUCAAUCACAUUUCGAACUUACAAUAUUUACGUGGGCACCAUGAAAGCUCAAUUUCUAAAAGACGGGGUUUUAGCCAUACAUACCUAGUUUAAUCUUUCCUUAAAUUACUACGACGUUCCGAAAAUUCUAGCAAUCCCAAUCUACUUGAGACAUAACAAAAUUGAACACAAAUUAGGAAGGUAUUCAUGGUUUCAGCUCAUUUGAGCAUUUUAUCAAACACUAGUUGAGCAUCUUGAUUUUGAAUCUACAAGACUUCCUUCAUUCCCCAACCCAAUCUUUACUUAUUUAUAUUUAUCAAUCUUCCCACAAACCUAAUUUGUACAUGCAUGUAUACAUAAUACUAUUACCCCAAGAAUCAUACCUCAAUAACCCAUCUCACAAUCUCUACCACACCAACACAACCUAGGUUAGACACCUAUAGCUUCCAAUCACCAUCCCAUGAGUUACCACACUUAAUUCAUACUCAUAUUUCCAUAAUAACUCCAUAUAUGUAAGUCUAAGGGUAAAAGAUUACCUCUUGUAGACCAAAUCUUGAAAGACAACUUUGGGGUGUUCUUGAGAUUUUUGAAGAAAUCCAAUCAAAAUCAUAUUGUAACUAGUGAUUGAGAAGUGAAAUCACCAUGAAAACACACUUAAAAACUCACCUUAGGUGUGCAAUUGGAUGCCUUGGUCGAGUUGGGGGUGUAAAGGAAACCCUAAGCUUGAGAAAUGUCUCAAAUUCUCUUAUUUCCGGUCCUUAGGUGUAUUUAAAAGCCUUCCACUAGCGCGAUCACGCACCUGGUCACGCUAAAGUAGCGCGACGAAGGCAGAAAGCUUCGCAAUAUGCGUGUCCACUAGCGCGAUCGCGCACAUGGGCGCGCUAGUGAUGCAGGCUCAGUAAAAUGGUCAUAACUUUCUAUAUAUACCUCCAAAUGACAAACGGUUUGUUGCGUUGGAAACUAGACUUAAAGGGCUUUAAUAUGAUAGGUAUUACAUCACACAAUUCCCUAUAUAACUGGAGAUAUGAUUGUUCAAAAUGAGGUCCUGUGCGCACUCAUUUACAACUUUCGCCUAUUAUGAAAUUUUCCAACUUGGCUUAGACUUAGGCCUCUCCUUAGACCCAAUUCACUUCUAAUACUACUUAUACGCUUAUUAACAUAUCCAAUUGAUAUCCAUCAUAUCAUGAAUCCUCAUUUGCACACAAAAUAAAAUAAUUAGCCUACCUUGGCACGACGAAAUCUUAAGUUACUUGAAAAAAAAAUCUGGGGCCUUACAUGGGAAUUAUUAAGGAAAACCCCUAGAAGAGAAAAAUAUUUUUUUUAUUCUUUUUUUAGGAAGUAAAUCUAAAGAAUAAACCAAAGAAAAAUAUUUUGAAUUUUCGUUUGAUAUCCUGAGGAAAGAUCUCCAACCAAGAAAUGAAAAAGAUAAAAGAUAUUUUUGGAUUUUAGUUUGAUUACAUAAGGGAGAAACACUGAAAUAAACCAAAGAAAAAGUAUGUUAUUUCCUUUUUCUUCUAUGUACAAUGUCCUAAAGUUCUAGUAAAAAAAAAUUAAUUCAUUUUUUCAUUAAUUUCCCAAAGAAGAACCUGAGAAAAUAUUUUUGGAUUUUUGGAAUUAAUAUCUUAAAGAAAACUUUUGAAGAGGUACUAAAAGAAAAUUUCCUUCUUUUUUUUUUUGAAUUUUUAGUCUUAAUAUACUAAAAAAAAUAUAAAAGCAAUUUUUUUUUGUUUUGAGUUCUAGAUAUUAAUUCCUAAGGAAACUCACCUCAAAUAAUUUCUUUUUUUUUCAUUUCUAGAAUUAGUAUUCUAAAGAAAACUUACUAACGAAAAUAUAAAACGCAAAAUCUCUUUUUUUGGAUUUUUGAGUUAUAACACACUUUUCAAAUACAAAAUAGAAAGUACAAUAACAAAAGACUCGAUAUUAUUGUACAAAACUAGAAGGUAAAAGACGACAUAAAAAGAAAAACAGACUCAAAACAUAAAAAAUAAAAAAAAAUUCUUUAAGCAACACCUGAAUGAGCGAUCCUGACUGGAUGGUCCCGGGGUGUCUGUCAUGCUCAAAUUCCGGUAAGUAAAUCCACACAUGUAUGAGAAAAUUAAGAUGAAAUAAAGUUAAAGACCUAGAACGCUAUGUGAGACAAUAACCUUUCAUGUUGGACAGAUGCAAGACAUGAUUGUGACUAUUUUUCUAAAAUUAACCUAUGUGGCUAAAAGUGGCUUAAAAUGCAAGAUUUGGCUAAGACCCCGCGAAGCCAAGAACCUAAACUCAAUAGGAAGACCGGAUCCUAUGUGGGUUGCCUACGUAUCACGCCCGAAAGACGAGAAUCAGGUAUGCGUAGUUCGGGCAGAUUGGAUACGGGCGAGAAUAAAAAAAACAACUAAUUUAGAGAAAAUAUGUUUUAUGACUUUUGUUUUGAAAAAUGAUGAAACACGUAAACUCUUUUUAGAUUUUUCUUUUUCCUUUUUUGAUUUUUUUUUUUUGAAAAUGAUGGGAAAGUGAAAAAAAAUUGGAUUUUUCAUGUUGUUUUUCUUUUUCUUGGAAAAAAAUGUGAAAGAAAAAUUUAACUGGGCCCUACUUGCUUCAUUUUUUUACAUUUCACCCCUUUUUUCAUUUAUCCUCAACCCUCAUUGGUAUGCCAAAUGACCCUUUUACCCUUGAGGAAAUGCAACAUAUAGCACAUAGGAUGCAUCAGGAUGGUCUUUUAUUUUCAGGUACAUCUGUCCUAGACGGACCCAACCCCUGUGUUGAGUCCCCUAAGUCAAAUGCACGUGAUACAAACAAACAUUCCUACUAAGAAUCCUGCAUGAGGCUAUGUUAUUCUAGGUUUAAAACCUAGGGUUGUGUUCUUGACCUGGCUUACCCGAGCGGACAACUCGAGCCGAAGAGGGGGCAACAUACCGGGGGCAUUAAAGUCUACCCGGCCUUGUUGCUGGCCCAGCCUCGUUCUAUUUGGUAUAACUUCAAACAGAAAAGUGGGCCACACGAACGUGUGCAUCAUUUUUAGAAGACUCAUAGGGGUGGCGUAAGAAGACAUUUUAAUACAAUUCAAACAAUAUCGAAAUGGUAAAUAAACAACAAUUAGCACAUUAGGUUCACAAAAAUAUAGUAAUAUUAACAAAAAAUAAAACCAAAUAAAAUCAUAUUAAAAAGCUCGAAUUCUUGAACCCUGAACCAGAAGUUCUAGGUUCUUGUCCCCAACAGAGUCGCCAGAGCCGUCACACCUCCUUUUUACUACCCCGGAAAGGGGUAUAAGAGAGUUUUUCCAAUUUAAGUGACAAUCGAAACGGGAUUUAUUUAUAUUAAAAUCAGAGUUACCACUUGGGAUAUUUAUGGUGUCCCAAGUCACCGGUUUAAAAUCCUGAAUCGAGGAAUGUUUGACUCUAAUUAUGGUCUGCGAACAUAGAAAUCUGGGUAAGAAAUUCUGUUAAUUCGGGAGAAGGUGUUAGGCAUUCCCGCGUUUUAUGGUUUUAGCAUGGUCGCUUAACUAUUAAUAUUGGCUUACACAUUUUAAACCCACGUGAAUUUUUAACUUUCUAACCGCUUUUAAUGUUUUUAGGAAAUUUCAUGAUCGUCAUACACUUAUGUUUUUUGAAAACACAUCGUAAACCAUGCUAUAUAAAAUGCACCCGUGGUUCAUGGCAUAUUUAUUUUAUUUAACAUUAUUGGAAAUUGAAGUCGGGUCACAUGAAAUGCACACCUGGAUUUAUAACAUGUUUAUUUCAUUACUAUUAUUCAAAAUUAUGGCAGGGUCACAUGAAAUGCACACCCCAGCCCUUUAAUCUAAUUUGACGUAGUUCAGUUGAUGAAUAGCAACCUAAUUUCUAUAUUGUGAUGAAAUCACGUUCAGCUAUAACUAAUUCGAGUAAACAUACGAGCAUAUAGCUAAGUGAGCAAAUUCAAAACUACGAAGAACAAUUACAGAAUCAACGGGAUCAUAUCACCAAACCAAUAAUUAAUGUCAAGCUUGCAUAAAACAAAUAGAGGAUGAAAGAGUUGAACCUCAAUAUAGCUGUACAAUUGAUUGUUUCACUACUUUGAACUCGAGAUGUAACGAACCGCGGACAGAACUCGAAUUAGCAUCGGAAAAUUGAAAAUCGGACGGAACUCAACCAAGCAAGGAUUCAAACCCAUAUUUUAACCAAAGUUCAUUCUUGAACACCAAGAAAACAGAAUUGAAAAAUGAAAAACAUGAAUCUGUAAUUUUUUUAUUUUCCCCUCUUCUGUCCAUUUUUGUUUUUGUUCUUUUUUGUUUUUUUAGUUUCAGAUCUGUAUUUGCUCCUCCUUGCUGUUUCUUUUCAAUUUUCUAACUCCUUUUCUUUCGUCCAAUCCCCCAUGUUCGUGCAUGACUUCCCCCUUUAAUCCUUUUUUUGUUUUGUACGUUCCUUUGUCUUUUGUAUUUGUGUGUAUGUGUGUGUGCGUUGCUGAGCAGUAAAGAGGUGUGGAAAGAAGCAUAGGGUCAUCCUAGCGGCGGGAAGCUGGUGACGAGGCGGCUGCUCGUUUUCUGAAAGUGUGGACCGGUCAUUUGGUUUCAAGAGGAGAUUCGGGGGGUCUGGUUUGAGCUCGAACUUUGGAUUUGGAAAUGGUGGUCAUUUUCAGGUGGUCCAGCUACUGUUUCCGGCGAGUUAGAGGCUAGCAGCGGCUGUGUGUACUGAUGAAGAAGAUGCAUGCGGCUGCUUUGGUGAUGAAGAGAGGUGGGGCAUGGCUGACGCUGGUGCGUGCUGGUGGCGUAUGCUGCUAUGGAGGGUCGGUGUUGUUGAGAAGCGGAGGCUGGUUUUUUGGUGUUAGAUGUGCUAGGUCUGUUAGUGUUUUGUUAUGGAGAAGAUGAAGGAGCUUAGGUCCCUAGGGUUUUUUGGUUGUCUUCGCUAGGAAGAUGAAGGGUCUCUAGCAUGUAAAAAAACAGAUCCUUAUAAAGUCUAGCCUAGGUUAGUUUUUGUAGCUUUUUCUAUGGUUUAAGGGGUAUUGGGCUUGGGCUGUUAUGGGUUAGGUCCGAAAAUUAGGCCUAAAAAUGUGUCGUUUGAGCCCAAAUUUUAUUCUUUCUCCGUGAACAAGACUAAAAUCCUACCUUAUUUACUAAUUAAUCUUACUUAAAUAAACUAACUAUUAAAAUAAGACUAAUCGUUAAAACAAACCUAUUUUUUGGUAUUUUCAGAUAAAAAUAAGGUACUAUUUUUUAUAUUUUUUAGUUUUACGAAAGGUAUAUAAACUAAAAGCAACUAAAAAGAAGAAAUAUUUUUGUACUUUUAUUUUUUUGAUAAAAUAAAGUAAAAGAGUCAAAACUAAUUGAAAUAUCGAUAUUAGCAUUAGAUGUUUAGGCCUUGGCCACCAUGUUUCUUAGAUGGAUGUUUCAAAGUCGUGUAGGGUUUUGGAUUAUAUGAUUUCUCGGUCUUCUCUAUAUGAUCGUAUUAGAGAGCGUCAGUAUAACGACCCUCAUCUGCUUGUCCUCAAGGACACGGUUCAGCACGGCGAUGCCAAGGAGGUCACUAUUGGAGAUGACGGUGUGUUAUAGAUGCAGGGCAGGUUAUGUAUGCCCAGUGUAGAUGGAUUACGGUAGUUGAUUCUUCAGGAGGCUCAUAGUUCGCAGUACUCCAUUCAUCCGGGUGCCGCCAAGAUGCAUCAGGACUUAAGGCAACACUAUUGGUGGAGGAUCAUGAAGAAGGACAUAGUAGAGUAUGUAGAUCGGUGCCUAAAUUAUCAGCUAGUGAAGUAUGAGCAUCAACAGCCAGGUGGAUUGCUUUAGAGGCUACAGAUUCCAGAGUGGAAAUGGGAGCAGGUUACUAUGGAUUUUGUUUUUUCUCCUAGGGACUCAAAGGAGGUUUGAAUCAGUAUGGGUGAUUGUGGAUAGGUUGACCAAGUCGGAUUAUUUCAUUCCAGUAGUGACUACUUAUUCUCAAAGCAGCUAGCUCAGGUCUAUAUUCACGAGAUUGUAGACUUCAUGACGUGCCGGGAUCCAUCAUCUCUGACCGGGAUACACAGUUCACAUCGCGGUUCUAGAGGGUCGUACAACGUGAGUUAGGCACAUGGGUGGAGUUGAGUACAACAUUUCACCCUCAGACAGAUGGACAGUCCGAGCGCACUAUUCAGAUAUUGGAGGAUAUGGCGUUUGGGGUUCUUGGGAUCAGUUCUUGCCACUCGCGGAGUUUGCCUACAACAACAACUACUAGUCGAGCAUUCAUAUGGCUCUGUAUGAGGCUUUGUAUGGGAGGCGGUGUAGGUCUCUAGUGGGUCGUUUGAUCCAGGUAAGGCUAGGCUAUUGGGUACAUACUUGGUUCAGGAACUUUGGAAAAGGUUAAAUUGAUUCAAGAUCGGCUUUGCACAGCCCAACCUAGAUAGAAGAGUUAUGCUGAUCGGAAGGUUUGCGACGUUGCAUGCAUAGUUAGGGAGCGGAUUGCUCUGGGUUUUGCCCAUAAAGGUGUUAUGAGGUUCGGGAAGAAGGGCAAGCUGAGCUCGAGGUAUAUCGGACCAAGUGAGAUUCUUAAGAGGAUUGGAGAAGUGGCCUACAAGCUUGCACUACCACCUAGUCUAGCUGUAGUUCAUCCAAUAUUCCAUGUUUAUAUGCUUCGAAAGUAUCAUGAUGAUCCAUAUCUUGUGUUGGAUUUUAGCUUAAUCCAGUACAAGAAUUUAUCUUAUGUUUAGGAGGCGGUGGCCAUUUUGGACAAGCAAGUCUGAAAGUUGAGGUCGAAGAAUAUCACUUCAAUGAAGAUUCAGUAGAGGGUUCAACCAGUCAACGAGGUGACUUGGGAGACCGAUCAUGAUAUGCAUAGCCAUUGUCGACGCCCCCUUUUUAUACGAGUCGAAAUCGGGUAUACGACAUUGGGAGGACAACUCUAUUCCCUUUCGAGAAUUGGGUUUAGAAGUGGAAGAGUCACCACCUAAUGAUUAUAGUGCAUUAGGAAACUUUAAGAAAGAGUUUGAGAUGAAGAGACCAGAGAUUAGGGUAAGGUCUAGAAAUUAUCCCGAGGGAAAGGUGUUAGGCACCCCUCAGGAUCCACAAGUGUGGUUCCCGGCCAUGCUACAAUUGUGACUUUACAAGUAAACACUCAAGGCUCAAAUAAGGACUCGCAUAUAACAUUGCAAUUAGGUUGAAAACUUUUGAAGACAAGUAGAGAGGGCAGAAAUUUAUGAAAAAAGGAAUUUGAAAAGUUUUACAAGAAGAGAUGCAAGCAAAUAAAGGGAAGGGGUCCUAGGUUUAUUAUUAAUAUGGAUCACUUUAAUGCAAUAUCCAGCAAUCACUCCUCAAAAAAGGGGUCGCACGUGAUAUUAGCGCAUCGGUCAUCAUAUCCAUAUUCUACCCUUCCCACCCCGUUAAGGUAUUUAAACACGUGACUGGGUCACGAAAGCUUAUUGCGUGUUGUCCCCGUCCCAUCCUAUAAGUCCUAGAGGGUAUUUAGGACCACUAUUCCUAUAGGGUAAGGACUAGGCUGAACACUUAGGUUUAAAGGACAAAAUGCUAGGCGACAUACAUAACAAGUAGGACUACACAUAAAGGAAACAACAAAGGCAAAUAAGAGGCUCACAAAUCCCUCACAAGUAAGCAUGUAGUUAGCACGUCUCUAACACUUUUUUUUUUUUUGGCAAUCCACUAGGCAAGCGCCUAGGGCUAGUUUUUAUAUAUAAAAAUCAGAAGAAAAAGAAAAAUAUUACAACUAAUAAAAGUUUCUGGUGGUCUUAAGCGAUGAAAGAAAUAAAAGUUUAGUGCCACAUAAGUCCUAUUACCGGUGUUGAGGUAAAUACUCAACAUUGGUAGUACAAUUUCCAUACUAAAAAAGCAUGUAAUGUGAGGAUGUAUAUGCAUUUGCAUUAUACAUUUUUGGCUUAGUCCAUACUUUAGUUUGUAGCGCAAAUGACCAUAUUCCUUUUGUAGCACUUUGAAGAUCUUCCAUGUUGUUAUGUUGCCUUGUAUGAAUUCCGUGCAAUAGUGGUUUCUUAACACAUUGGCCUCUCAUAUCAUCGCAGUAGUGCUUCAAUGUUUUUGAAAAUAACCUCCAGUAUUGUAUCAAAGAAAUUAUUUGUGGAUAGCAUCGUGGAGAGGAGUAGUUAUCGACAAAUGCGAUACACCAGCUAGUGUCGUUACUAUGGCCCAUAGAAUCGAUCACAAAGUUGUGCAAUAAUUUGUUGCAUAUGUCCAUUUUUCUUCUGGAUUUGCUUGAAUUUCCAAACCCAUGUUUGGGUUCAAAUGAAAUAUUGCAAAAGUCCAUAACCGAAAAUCUUUGUAUAUGCAAUCCUUCCUUUGAGUCUAUUCUUUUUUCUAUCUUUAACUUCCUCCCCUUGGGAUGAGUGCAUUGCACUAAUACCACAAAAAUGGAAUCCAUUAAAUAAUAGAGCCUAGAUAUAGAAACUGCACCUGCAAAUGAAAUAAACAGGUUAAUGAAGAUAAGGCAUCCCCUGUGCGCGUGAUUGGUUCUGUGUGCUUUGCUGCAGAAGUGUGGAAAGAUCGAACAAGAAUCGAAGCCCAGAAUUGGUUGAUGUCCCCGAGUAGUAACAGUGCAUAUCUCCAGCUGUGAAAAUUUUGUUAACUGCAUACCAAUUUGCAUCAUCGAGUAAACCAUAUAUUUAACAAGUGGCGUCGAGAAUUGUCGACCAAGUCUGCCCCUAACAAAAUAUGUACAUUCAGUGAAUUAAUGUCCAUAUUGUUGUGCCAAUAGAUUGAGAAAAGUAAUGUAACUUGGAUUGGGUAUUUGCUGUGAUUCUCUGCAAGAAACCAAUUUCAAUGGAAUUCUGAAGUAGUUGUGCACUUCCAGUGUGCUAGCGUAAUGAGAACCUUGACCUUCCUGCUCGUAAUCCUUCAUGCUUAUGGUAGAUUCUCUAAUUAAAUGAACAGUAUUUGCUAAAACCACCCUUUGAAGUCUUAUCAACAUGUAAGGCAUGUCAAAAGGAGUUGUUCCUGCAAAACAGAAAGCUGAGUUAUUAGAAAAAUGUAACCUUUCAGUUUUAACCAUCUCCUUCCUCGCUUGCAUCCUUAUUGUCUUGCAACUUUCACCCUUAGAUAAGGACAUUGUAAUUUGUCAUUAUUGACAAUUCUCCUGGCUUUUGUAUCCAGCUCUUGAAAACACUGUGCUUCGAUGUUGCCCAUGUCAAGUGCUUGAUUCGCUAGAUGGUCUGCCAAGCAAUUCUCUUCUCUCAUGAUAUGUGAUAGUUUCACAUGAAUUCUUUACAUUGCCUUUGCGAUUUCAUCUACAUAUUCUGCAAUGCCCACAGAAUAGCCCAAAUUCCUUCUAUAGCAUUCUUCAAGAGGAGCGAGUCAGUUUGCAAAAUAACUUGCACGAAUCCUUUCGCUUCACAGUAUUUUAGUGCUUAAACAAUUGCCAAAGCCUCUGCCUCGUUGUUUGUUGUUUCAUGUAUUAACUUUCCACAAUCAUACUUUAUGUUGCCUUCAUCAUCUCUAAGUGUGUAACCAAUUGAGCUCCUUCCUGGAUUUCCUCUCGAUGCCCCAUCGCAAUUGACUUUGAUCCAUCCUUGUGGUGGCAUUUCCCAUAAAAUUUUAGUAACCUUUAAUGGAGGCGUGUACUGUUCCAGCAUGCACAGAAGUUGUGGCCAGUUUUGAGGAACGUUAGCCAAGCCAGGUUUCCUUAGUUUAACAAGUGAUUGAAUGGUUGUGGACACCUGAUAUAUCACCCUUCUAAUCGUUACUGCUUCCCCGUGUUUGUAGUUGUUUCUUCUCUUCCACAACUCCCAUAAAAUGAUAGCCGGAAGUGCUUGAAAAAUUGGCUGCAAUCUUGGUAACACUUUGAGCGUACAGCACUUCACGAUUGCCUGGUGCAUCGACAUACUCUCCAGAUUAAUUCCAGCAUUCAUUAGGAAAUAUGAACAAACUUUGUUGGCAGCAAUCGAGGUAAAGAACAGAUGCACUAAGGUUUCUUCCCCUUGUUGCUCACAGCACCAGCAGCGCGAAGGCAUGGAGUAUCCCAUUUUCUUCAAAUGGUCGUCUAGAGGUAGUUUCGCUCUCCACACUUUCCACAUAAAGAACGAGAUUUUGAAUGGUAAAUCCUUUACCCACAUCUUUUUGUAUGUUGUCCCUGUAUCAUUUCUCUGCCUCAAAUACUCCCACGCUGAUUUAACUGAAAAAUUACCUCCUGUCUCAAGACACCAGUAUGGUUUGUCAAGUAAUUGUUGCUCCCCUGGUGGUUUGAUAUUGUCUAGAAUGUGCACAGUAUAUUCCUCAGGCAGAAUGUUCGCUAACUUGUUUGCAUCCCAAGCUCCUCUAUCCACAACAUCAUAAACAUUAUUAACUAUUCAUCAAUGUAGAAUUCAGGAGGAGUUAUAAAGUAUAAAGCUCCCAGUCCCGUCCAGUUGUCAAACCAGAAAAGUGAUGAACCCAUUUUUGUACGCCACCCAAUUUGAUGUUCAACAAUGUCCCGACAUUCCAGCAUUUUUCUCCAAGCAUGUGAUCCAUAUCUCCGAGGUAUAACAAUUGGAUUUAAUUUUUUGCAAUAUUUUUGUGACAUGAAAGAGCUCUAUAAUGUUGGCUUUGUCCUGAAAUUCCACCAGAGCUUAGAGAAAAGUGCUUUCGCAACAUCGUGUAGUGAUCGAAAACCUGCUCCUCCUUCUUCAUAAGGUCGACAUAAAGUAGUCCAUGAUGCCCAGUGCCUACUUUUGCCACCAAUAGAACUACUCCAAAAGAAUUGUGCAAAAAUCUUGUGUAACUUGUUAAUGACAAAUGGAGGGGGGGUUCAUUGCCGAUAGUAGAUGGAUCGGCAUUCUUUGUAACACAUGUUUGAUUAAAAUCGCCCUACCACCAAUGGACAAUAAUUUUCCUUUCCAUGCUUGCAAUUUGUCCGUGACUUUGUUGAUCAAACCUUCAUAAAUUUCCAUUUUCCUUCUAGUGUAAAAAAUUGGGCAUCCAAGGUAAAUGAAAGGGAAUUCUUUCCUGGAAAUACCCGUAAUUCUUUGGACCUUAUUCACCACAUCUUGAGGAGAAGCAUCAUGCAUGUAUACAGCUGAUUUGGACUUGUUAAUCUGCUGUCCAGAUGCUCUUUCAUAUGCUGCCAAAAUUUCCAUUACCAACUGCAAAGAUUUAGCACCUGAUGAAGAAAAAAUUAUAGUGUCGUCGGCGUAUGAUAGAUGGUUUAUUUUUUGACUCCAUUUUGGCAUUCCAAAACCACAGAAAUAGAGGUUGAGGUGCAAAUCAUUUAAAGCUCGUGAUAAUGCCUCAGCUGCAAGAAUAAAGAGUGUUGGUGAAAGCGGAUCUCCUUGCUUGACGCCCCUAGUAGACUUGAAGAAACCAUGUGGUUGACCAUUGAUGAGAACGGUGUACCAAUUAUUAGACACAAUUCCAUACACCAAGCCAAUAAAUGUUUCACAAAAACCCAUCUGCCUCAGGACUUUAGUGAGGAAUAACCAAGAAAGACGAUCAUAGGCUUUCGUCGUAUCUAGUUUAAUCACUACAUUUGGCUCGGCCUUCGUUCUUAGUCUAAUAUCAGUGAUUAUCUCUUGAGUGAGGAGCACAUUUUCAACAAUGUUUCGUCCUUUUACAAACCCAGCUUGUUCAUCAGAAACGAGCGUAGGUAGUAGACUAACUAGCCUUUCGUGAAUCACCCUUGAUAUAACUUUGUUGAUGAAAUUACUUAAGCUAAUUGGACGCAAAUCUGAAAAUGUUUGCACUUCUUUCUUCUUUGGUAAUAGAAUUAGAUUUGUAUGAGUUACAAAUCUUGGUAGCGCAUGACCAUUGAAGAAACUCUUAACCAUGUUAAAGACGUCGUCACCAAUGAUAUCCCAACAUGAAUGAAAGAAAGCGCCUGUGAAACCAUCGGGGCCAGCUGCACUUUCUCCAUUUAGACCCAUCGUAGUCUGUUGUACCUCCUCUUUUGUGGGCUGCCUCAUCAAGUGGAUGUUCUGCUCCGUUCCUACCAAUUUUGGAACAUGAUCUAUAAUUUCAAAAUCACAUGGACUUCUGUCUUCAUGGAACUGCUCAGUAAAGUAGUGAACUGCUUCAUCUGCCAUUUGAUUGGCGUCUUCAAUCCAGAUUCCAUCUCUGUUUUGAAUCCCUCGUAGCUGCAAUCUCUUCCUUUGCCCGUUGACUUGAGCGUGGAAGAAUUUUGUGUUUCUAUCUCCAUCAUUAAACCAUGCCAUCCCUGCCUUUUGUUUCCAAAAUUGCUCCUCAAGAGCAAGAAAUUUGAUAAGUUCUGCUUGAACUUUGCAAAGCCUUUCCCUAUUUGCCCGAGUUGGAUUUAUUUCAAAUUGUGCCUCGUGAACCGUGACGACCUCUUCCAAACUGGAAAUCUUCUUAAAAAUAUCUCCAUAUGUUGAUUUGCUCCAGAUUGACAAUUCUUUCUUCACUCUUUUCAUCUUAUGGUUGAAUAAAGUGAAAGGAUUUGCUUCAAAAUCGGCUUGCCAAUUUGCCUUGACCACGUCUUUGAACGUCGGAUGUUUUGUCCAAAAGUUAAGAAACUUAAAGGAUUUCUUUAUCGCAAUAGUUUCAAGAUCACAUUUUAACAACAUGGGACAAUGGUCGAACCCAAUUUUUGGCAGAUGGGUAAUUUCUAUUCCAGGGAACAUUUGUUGAAAUUCAAUGUUAGCCAUACAUCUGUCAAGUCUCUUGAAAAUGCAAUAUUCUUCUGCUUUUCCAUUCCACCAGGUGUAUAUACUUCCUUUGAAGCCCAAAUCAAAAAGAUUACAAGUGUUCAUGCAAUGUCGGAAAUCAUUGACUUCAUUCAAAGUCAUCGGAAGUCCCCCAAACUUUUCCUCUUCGUCCCAUAUGAUGUUGAAAUCACCACCAACAAGCCAAGGAAUAUCCAUAAUUGUUGCCAUUGUGUACAAUGAGUCCCAAAGUUCAAUUUUUUCGAUUGCAUCACACUUGGCGUAAACCAAAGUAAUAAUAUGCACAAUGUGUGUUUCUGUAUGAAUCAUUUUUAACGUCAUUUGCUGCUCCAUGUCGUAUAGCACUGUGACUUCAUACAGAUCGUCAACGAAAGCCCACACCUUAUUUGAAAUGUUUGAAAAAGCUUGAGAUAAUCCAAUUUUUCUUCUGUACAAUUCAAGCUUUUUAUUAUCCUGAAUUGGUUCCAUGAGACCAACAAAAUCGAAAUGAUGUUGUCUAUGCAUUGUUACUAGCCUCUCAAAGGCUUGCUGCAUAUUGACGGAUCUAAUAUUCCAAAUAAUUGCGUCCAUUACAAAUUAUUUGAUUUAGUUAAAGCUCGUCGAGUUUGGAUCCCAGCAGUAGGCAUGCCAACUUUGUUUCUGUUGAGUUUUCCUUUUUUUUCUUUUGUCGCAGAUUUUACUUUUGCAAUCUGAGUCGGAGAGAGAUCUCCUUUUCUUGCCACAUUGAGGAAAUUUUGAGCAGUUGAUUCCUCAUCUAAAUCCCUUCCAUUUCCCAACAUGUUUUCUUCUUCUUUUUCUUGUUUAUGUAGUGGCGUUGCCAAAUCAAGUGAAGGUAGAUGAAGCAUUAUGGCCUUGUCUGCAAUAUCCUUGAUUGACUUGACCCCACUGUUCUUGCCAACAGUCUUUUGGUUAUCAGUAGUUUUGCUUAUUCCUUGUUCCCCCUCAUCAAUGCGGUUUACAAUAUGGAGUGAUGUGAUUUUGAUGUUUUCUCUGUUUGAAGGCAGAGUAUUUACUCUAUCUGGAGACAGGUUAUUUACUCUGUUAUGAGCCAGAGUGUUUUCAGGUACAGCACUUGUGGCACAAAAUUUGCCUUCAGGUAUAUGUUCCCUUUGACAUUUUUCCACUGUCUCGAAACCUUGUAUGUCUGCAUUUUCUAUUGGUAUAAAUUCAUCUGUUAUUAAUCCCUUUUGGCAUUGCAUAAGUGCAUCCAUAUUUUCCAUCUGGCUAACCACGGCUUCAGAACCUACCAAUUGCAUGCUUCUUAUCUUUUCAUUAUUGACAAUGUUUGUUGUAUUGUCAUUAACCCUUUGCUCUUCCUCCUCAUUUCCUUCAUGGUUAGCUUCAUCUUCCCCAUGUAUUCCAUCUGGAAUUUCACCUUCUUCGUAGUCUUCUUCUGCUUGAUCCUCCCAUAGUUUGCCUCUAGUCAAAGCUAACCUAUCUUUCUCAUUCACCUGUUCAGAUAUACCAUAUGUAUCCAUGGACUGAGACGGGAUAUCUUCACACGAUUGAUUAGUGGUAACUAGCUUGCUUCCAAAAACCUUAUUAGCCCAUUGUGCAGUAGAUUCUUGUUGUGACUGACACUGGUUCAAAUUCUCUUUAUCAAUAAGAGUAAAAGCAGUAGCAUUUGGAUUUAGCUGCUUUGUCACUUUUGAUAACCUAUUUGUCUGAACAGUAGGAGUUGUUCUUGGAUUGGUAACAUCUGUUGCUGCAACUACAUUCUCAUUUGGCUCCAUAUUAAUUCGAUAUUUUGCAGCAGAGGUUUCUCCUAUCCACAACAGAUUAUUUCCCACAUUACCAUCACUUUGUUCCAUUUCUAGAACUGCAAAUCUGUUCAAAGUUUGAACCUGGUUUAGCUGCUCAUUUUCGAUCUCCACCAAUGCCAAAUUAUUUGUCAUCUGAUUCUGCUUGGUUACAGCAUUCAAAGAAAUAUUCUCAUGCCCAGUUUUUGUUUGAACACAAUUCUCAUUAUUGACAGGCUUCACAUGAUUAUCCUUCACCUCUUUCCAUUGUCCUCCUAAAUUUCCAGUAGGCCUUUGACCUGUGAUGAUCGCAAGACUUCCUGUAGCAGUAGCCUUACCUUUCGUCUUAUUCUGAGUAUGUGAAGUGUCAUCGACCACUCCCUGCAUUUGAGUCACAUUGUCAUUUUCUUGCAGCUGAUUGGCAUCUCUUAUUGCAUUCAACAAUUGCCUUGCAUCACCCUGAAGUUGUUCAGUAGAAAUCUCAUCCAAAUCAUUUCGACUUUUUUGCUCGAUAUUUUCCUUUGCAAUUUUAUUCCUCCCUUUCAUCGAGUGACAUGAAUUUUCAUCAUGCCCUUGGUGCUUACAACAUGUACAAUACAUUGGAAGGUAAUCAUACAUAACCUUUUGAUGGAAAUCAUUAGAUUUUCCAGAAAGUUUGUCAACGACGGAAAUCUUGACGUUUUUGGGAUGCUUAUCCAGCGGAUCUAGCAACACUUUAACCCUCGCAGCACUUGGCCUUGUUCGAUCUUUCGUCGCCUUGUCAAUAGCUAGAGGUUUUCCAACUGCAGAUGCAAUUGACAUCAAAGAUUUCUUUGCAAAAUAAUUGGGUGGAAGAUCUGGGAAUGAGAUCCACACCACAACCUUCGAAGUCUCAAUUCUUGGAUCGAAUCCAAUCGUCCAAGGAAAAGUUCUGAAGAAGAACUCAUCUCCUUUUGAGUUAAUAUGCCCAGUAGAUCUGGAAACAAAGUUUAUAUAAUCUUUAUAAAGAUCGAAUCGUACCAGUAAAUGUCUAAACUCCAGCUGCCCGAUGUUACACGAUCCCUUCACAUCGAACUGUUUUGGAAAAAUUCUUCUGAGGUCGUGAAGUUCUGGUUUUCCAUAAGAGAAUUUGAUGACAACUGCUUGGUGUAAACAUUCCUCUAUGACAAACUCUUUUACCUCAUCUGUGGUGAAUUCUACGAUUGGUUCUCCAUGUUCGAAACUAACUGGACAUAGAACUGUAUGUUGGAUUUGUCGCACAUUUUCUUUAGUCACAGUUGCUGCAUAAUUCAUUUUUGGUGGAAUGUUGAUCCUAGGUGCUUGAACACUUUGCUCUCCCACAGCCAAGGACUGGGGAGAGGUCAACGCAGCCAUGGCUACCUUAAACGAGCAUGAGCAAUCUGCAGUAUAGACAGACUUGUUAAAACACCCUUUGAAAAUAUAGUAGAGGCAUUAAAGAUGCAGUAUCCUGAUAAGUCGUAGAAAAAGUAGCACGAUUCUGGACAGGAAAGAUAACCCAGUGGAAAACGUGAUAGAACAGAUGCACGAUUCUGAGAUUAUCUCAAAAUAGGGCGGAAGUUUUAGUAGAAAAAUAGAGCAAACUUCAGAGAGGCAACAGAGUUCAGAAAGUUAAAAGAGGCUGAGUAGUCUGAAAUUGGUAAAACAUGAUUAAUCGAUUUUUAUUGGGCCUAAAGCUUGCCUAGGCGUCGUAUGUAUUGCCUACUUAUCUUAAAGGUGAGCAUGCAUAUUAAUCCCAGUUUUAAAAGAACGCAGUUAACCAGAUUUGUACUAUUAGAUUAAACAUAUUGGCGAAGCGUUCAGCAAAUUGCAACUCAGACAAAAAUAAAGACCCUAAGUAACAUGGUGUCUAAUGCACAUAAAAGUUCUAAAACAUGGUCUCUAAAUGCCAGUGAGAAUGCACCAGUUAUUUUAAUAGUUAUUCGUUAGUUAUUAGCUAGUCGUGAUUACGAAAUGAGUAUGACAACAAGCUGAAAGUAAAGAGUCUAAACAAGAUUACUACUAUAUGAGAUGCAUGUCCUAUACAUGAUAUCUAUUGCACAAACAAGUAAGUAAAGUCCUAUAAGCAUGUUUUCUACCCAUUAUUUAAACUAAGCAUGCAUAACCCCACCCAAUUGCACUAUUCAACCCCAAUCAGUUGUUUACAAGUUAUUACAAACCAUAAUAGCUGAAUUACAAUAAUAAAGAAAAAUAAGAAGUUAUUAUAUAGGGAGCCUUCAACCAGGCCCAAUCUUCCAGUCUCACAUCUUUCGAGUUUCACAGCCAUGGUCUGGGUGCGGCAAAGCUCCCUAGGGACCCAUUGGGCCCCUGACCAAUACCAGCACUCAAACAUUUACUAAAAUGUUGAACAAGUGCAGUGUGGAAUUACCAGCCUUGUGCAUCAAACUUCAGUGAGCACUCAAAAGGUACCCAAGCAAUGCUUACACUAAGGGGGUAGGACCUAAUCUCUAAGAGUAGUGAGAGUGUGUGAUAGAGUUUUUAAAGAUAUUGAGUUGAUAGGAGAAAACAGUUUAAUAUGAUCCAUACAGGAUCAGUUCUUGAAAAAAUAGAAGAGUAUGACAGUUUUUGUAAGGAUAUGAGUAAGACAAUCUCAGAAUCAAAACAUCACACAUAGUUUAGGGAAACAAACACAAACAGGGGAUAGGGGGCAUGGGGCCAAGUAGUUCACAUGUAAGAGCACAGUUGCACAUACAUAGUCAUCAGAGAAAAGCAUUUCAGAAUUUAGGCAGUGACAACAUUUUUACCAAAGAGGUUCAGGGUUACAUGCUGAUAAUUGUACUGGGGUAAGGAAGAACAUGCAUUAGACAAAUAAAGGAAGUAGCAGGCAUGCUGAAUUAAGGGAAAGAUAGACACAUCAAUUAACACAGAGGCAUGCUAAUUGCAAUGAGAAUAGCAGAACCAUAAGUAGAAGCAUAAAAAGAAACAAGAGAAAGUGCAAUACACAUAAAAACAUGUUGUUUUGGAAACUGUAAAUCAAAUAUGAGACAUACCAGUCAAGAGUAAGAUAAUAUAGAGCAGUGGUGUGCAGGGAAGUAGAGCAGGAGUGUAUGCAGACCAAGAGAAGCAGAGCAAUUCAGCAGUAGAGUAACAAGCUACUCAAUCUUGGCUUUCAGCCGACUGGGUAACCAGUAGAAGUGAGAGAAUGUGUAGAAAAAAUAAGAGAUAGAGAGCAGUGAAGAUGCUUAUGUGUGUAACAGAGAGUUCAGAACAGUGAUUGUUCAUGUCUUAUGCCAAAGAAAGGGUAGACUAUUUAUAGUUUUUGAAAACAAGUGGAAAAUAAGGUAACACGUAUAGACUGAUCAUAGUUAUGGAAAUAAUACCUAUUAGAAUCAAUUAAAGCCUCGGACUCCCUUCAAUUAGGGAGUCAUAGUUCAAACGGGUACAAAUUGUAUCAAAUAAGGAAAUUAUUAUUUGCAAGACUAAUAUAUCCAUAAUAGGAGUAGUAAGAGUAUGAUGCAUGUGAUAAGGAUUGAAUACAGAAUAUCUCAAGUAAGGAAAGUAUAAGCACAACAUAUUGUGCAUACAAAUUUGUUCAAAGAAUCACGGAUGAAAUUGAAAGUCACAGGGAAUCAGUACUAAGUAAGGAUAGCAUUUCACGAAUAAGGAAGUGAUUCAAAAAUCAAUGUAAAACUUCUAAGGAAAACAUAUACAAAUCAGGGAUUCGAAGAGAUGCAAAAAAUUAGCAGAAUAUUUGGUAAAUGAUGAACAAUUAGACCUAUAAAACACAAUAGGCAUGCAAAUCAGAGAACCCUAAGCAAGAAAUCACAGAAACAAUAGAAGGUUGGAACCCUAACAACAAAAAUUAAAGCAUAGAACUCGGAGAACAACCCAGAAGAUCACACAAACCAGCAAAUAAUACAAACACAAACAUAUAGUACUCAAAAUCAGAAAGAUAAAGUGAUUUCGAAAAGGGGUUCAGAAACCCUAGUUUGAAAAAGGGAACGAAAACGUUUAAACUUGAACAAUCGUAAAAAUCGAGUAGAGAGUAGUGUAAAACAUAAAGGUGUGAGUUAAAAAUCAUUAAAAACACAGAGAUUUAAGGGGUUUGGGUUGAGAUUAGGGUUUCGUAAGAAACUAGUGAGAGAUAAGAGAAACCUGGCUGUGCAACUCAACAAUAAUGGUGUCCAAAGCACCAUCCGACCAAAACCCAUCGGAGAAAGGCCGGAGACAAACCAGACCAAGCCUUCAGUGACCAUCUUGUAUGGCGGAGGCUUCUGGGGUCUCACCGAUAGAGGGAAUCAAUAAGGUAAGGUUUCACGGCGACUGGUGGUCGAAGGGGAUGAGGCUAUAGGUGGUCGGAGAGGCAGUGAGUUCAUCGGAGAAGAAGAGAGAACCAGAAGGUUCUAGAGAGAAAGGAGAGUGAGAGACGAUAUAGAGAGAGAUAGAGAAUCUCAUGGAAAUGAAGGGUCUUGGGGGGUAAUUGGAUUUAAUUAAGGCAAGCAAAUCUGGGCCGUUGAUCUCAUUUGAUCAAUGGCUUUGAUUAACUCGGAGCUGGACCGGGUUGAAAAUAUAGGUCGAUCUAAUUGGGGUUAGGACUGGGUAAAUUGAGGGCUAAAAUUCAAAUCUGAAUGGGCUAUAAUUGCAAUGAGAUGAGGCUAAAUGUCAAAUAGCCAGUUUUCCAUUUUUAUUUUAUAUCAAAUAGUUAAAAUGAUUUUUAAAACAAAUUAAAAGAACUGAACUAAUUAAUAAGGUAUAAGUAUUAAUUUAAAAAUACUGAAAAUAAUUUAAUAAUUAUGAAAUGCUGUUAAUUGUAAAAUAGGCUAUAAUUGCAAUUACAUGCAAUUUAGCUUUUAAAUACCAAAUAAAUUUGUAAAAAUAUGCAAAAAUCACCUUAAUUAUAUUUUGGUGUAAAUAUGAGAAAUAAAUAAAUUAUUCACCAAAAUGAUAAUUUUGGGAAUAAUUAUGGAUUUUGCGCUGCUAAAAUAGACAAUAAAUUGGUUUUGAAAGUCUUUAAAAAUUUGGGAAAAAUACCAAAAUACUUGGGCAUGUUUAUGUAUGCACAUAUAUGUCAUUUUGAAAGUAUUUUGAGUGUAAAAAAUACUUAGGGAAAAAUUGGGUAUCAACAACCGUUAUCCUCAUCUUUUCACUACUUCAGGUAUGUCUCUAUACUCGUUCGAGGACGAACAUUUAUUUUAAGAGGGGGAGGAUGUAAUGACCCAGCCGGUCGUUUUGAGUAUUUUAGCCUCGAUCCCUAUUUAUUGCCUCCGCUAUGUUAUAUUGGAUUAUCUGAGUUGCCGGGGUGUUUGGUUUUGGUUUCGGGUGAGUUUCAGAGUUAAAUGGCACACAUAGUCCCUAAGUUGGAGGUUUAAGCUGAAAGAGUUAACUGUAGUUUGACUUGUGCGUAGACGAAUCCGGAAUGGAGUUUUGACAGUUCCAAUAGCUCUGUAUGGUGAUUUUAGACCUAGGAGCAUGUCCGGAUGUUGAUUAUGAGGUCCGUAGGUCGUUUCGGCGUAAAUUGGUGAAAGUUAGAAGGUUGGAAAGUUUGAUCGGGAGUUGACUUUAUUGAUAUGGGGGUCGGUUCCCGAUUUCGAAAGUUUGAAUAGGUCCGUUGUGUCAUUUAUGACUUGUGUGUAAAAUUCGAGGUCAAUCGAAGUAGAUUUGAUAGGUUACAACAUUGAAUGUAGAAGUUACAAGUUCAUAAGUUCAUUAGCCUUGAAUCGAUGCGCGAUUCGUUGUUUUAGUAAUGUUGGAUGUGAUUUGACUCUUCGAGCGAGUUCAUUUGAUGUUUUAGAACUUGCUGGUAAGCAUGGCUGAGGUUCUGGGAACCUCGGGUGUGAUUCAGAUAAUGUUCGACGUUCGUGGAGUGUUAGUUUAGCAGCCUGAGAAUUUGUGCUUUGCAAUCACGAAGCAAUUCCCACGAUCGCGAAGAAUAAGAAUAAGUCCUCGACAGAAUUUAAAGUUCAAAACAUGGGUUUCAUCUCAUUUUUCAUAAUUUGGAGCUAGAGAGCUCGGGGUGAGGUGAUUUUCCCAGAGUUUUUCAACGUAAUCAUUAGGGUAAGUGAUUCUAACCCGGAUUGGUCUAUAUUUCAUGAAUCUAUUGCCAUUUUUAUCAUCUAAUUAGGGAUUUGAGUUAGAAAUUUGGGGGGAAAUUGUGAAAACUUCCUAGACUAAAUUUUGGGGUUUUGAAAGGCGACUUGAGGUUGGAUUUGAGUAAUUCUUGUAUGGUUGGACUCAUUAUCGAAUGGGUGCUCGAAUUUUGUAAUUUUUAUCAGAUUUCGAGAUGCAGGCUCGGGUUAACUUUUUGAGUUUACUUUUUAUUUCACUGCAAAAAUAAUAAGUUUAUUAUUCGAAUUAGUUUCCUAUAGUUUAUAUUUAUUGUAUGAAGUUGUUUUGGCUAGAUUCGAGCUGUUCAGAGUUGUAUAAUCGAGGGAAAGGCCUUCUAGUGGAUUAAGUUAGCGUGUUUCGAGGUAAGAGUCUUGCCUAACUUUGUAUGAGGGAAUUACCCCUUAGGAUUGGUGUUGUUUGUGAUAAUUUUUAUGUGUGGAAGCCAUGUACACAAGGUGACAAGUGUGUACACGGGCUAAAUGUGAAGAUUUACCUAUUUUAGCAAUGUAGAUUCCUUCAUACCUUAAUUUAUCUAUCUUAACUUGUUAUCUUCAUUAUCAUUAGUCUAUUUCACAUGCUCUAUAUGUCCUAUCUCUUAUUUGUUAAUUGCACUACAUGUUUAGUUGAAGUUCUUGUUUCCCUUAUUCCAUAUUCAUUAAUAAUCCGUUGAAUUUUUACUUGGAGUUAUUGUUCUUGGGAUAUCUUUUUGUUGAAAAUGGUAAUGAGCUAUAAAGGUCUUGAUUUACAUUGAGGUAAAGUGUUAAUUUGUGAAACACUAUUCUUGUUGAGUUAUUAACUUCUGGUUAUUAUUGUUGAAAUUCUUGUGUAAAUUGUGGUUGAUCCAUGGGCUUUAUUGUAAAAAUAUUGUUGUUGUUGGUUUCUUGGCAAGUUGUGAUAUUGGGAACUUGAGGUGCGAUUUCUGAUACAUUAUGAUAUUGAUAUGCAUGCGAUGGUAAAAGAUUUUAGAGUUGAAAAGCAUCCAGUGAGAUAAGGUGGGCUCGAUACGCGUGGCUAGUAGGGGAAUUACUAGAAGCCACGCAUUGUGAUAAGGUGGGCUAAAACGCGGGAUGCUAUUUCGGGAAAAAUAAUUUUUCAAAAUCAAAUGCAAGGCUCCCGCGAUAAUAUAAGAAAGGAUUGUGAAUUAUUCUUGUGAUUUGAGACUAACGGUACCUCGAUAGUGACUCUUGUUGGUAUUUCUCUACUGAUGCACUUUUCCUUGGUUGUGUUGUUUCUUAGCAUAUCAUUCCUUGUUUUCUUUGUGUUGCAUUACUUGCUUUAGUUCCGUGUAGCUAACCUUAACAUGUUAUUGUUGUUUCAAUUUCAUUGCCAUCAUUACUACACUGCCAUGCACUUGUACAUUUUUUCAUAUCUAUUACAGUAGAGCCUUGACCUGACCUCGUCACUACUCAGCCGAGGUUAUGCUUGACAAUUACUAGGUAGAGUUUUAGUGUAUUUAUGCUAUGCUUCUGCACAUCUUUUUGUGCAGAUAUAGGUACCUCCCACCAGCCCAGGUAUUUGCGAGAGCUCAGUUGCAGAGACUUCAAAGUAUACAUGUCGGCGUUCAUAGGCCUCGGAGUCCCCCUCUACCUAGACUAUUCCAUUUUCAUUAUCCUUUUAUAUACAUUGGUGUAUAAGAUUAUUCGGUACUACUAUUUAGAGCUUGUGACUUAUAUUCACCGGGUAUUGGAAAAUUGUAUAUACUAAGUUGUAGAGUUUCUUUAUGUUAAAUUCUUGAGUAUUUGAUAGUUAUUUAGGAGAGGCUAGUUGAGCAUCGGAGUCGGCAUUCUUCUCCAUCAUUUGUUUGAACAUGUUCUCGAUUCGUCCUAUCUCAUUGUUGGAAGAGCUCGGACAUUGAGAAGGGUAAGGGGGCGGGUUGCUUGGUUGUUGAAACAUCGGGGGUCUUUGAAAACCUGACCCCCGGUUGUUAUUCUUGUUCCACCCUUCUUGGUAGUUAGCUCCCCAAUAACCUUGAUUAUUGCCACUCCAAUUGCCUUGGUUGUUUUGACCAUUCAAAUUUCCUUCAUUACCUUGAAUGUUUCAAUUCCCUUGGUUGUUUUGAUUAUUCCAACCACCUUGAUUGCUUGAAUUUCAAUUUCCUUGAUUUCCUUAUGGUCGCCAUUGUUGUUGACUUGGGACUUGAUUGUUGUUUCUUUGUCCUUGGAUGUUGUUCACAUAUUGUACUUCCUCAUUUUUCUCAUUGCAUUGUCCAUCUUGAUCAAACCCUCUAUCAUCUUGCUCAUAAUUUUCAACCUGAUUUUGCACUUGAGGACCCUUUUGCCUCCUCUUGUUCACCAUCAAAUGAACUCCCUCCAUUGCAUUUACUUGCUUCGGACCUUGCACUUGUUAUAGUUGAGCUUUGGCCAAUUGAUUCAUUGUGGUGGUCAACUCGGCAAUUGCUUGCCCAUGAUCAUGUAACUCUUUGUGGAGGUGAAUCACAUUUGGAUCACCUUGAGGCACAUUAGCUCUACUUUUCCAUGUCGAUGAAGUUUCCGCCGUUUCGUCUAAGAUAUAACAAGCUUCCGAAUAUGGCUUUGACAUGAAAUUUCCACCGACAAGUUGAUUGACCACACAUUUAUUUGUAGUGUUUAUCCCCGGUAGAAAGUUUGUUGAAUCAUAGCCUCGGUCAUGUUAUUGUUGGGGCACUCUUUGACCAUUGUUCGGUACCUUUCCCAUAUCUCAUGCAAAGGCUCGUCGUGUUCUUGUUUGAAAGCUAGAAUCUCAUCCCUCAGAGUUACCAUAUGCUUAGGAGAAAAGAACUUUGCAAUAUAUUUCUAGGCCAAUUCAUUCCAUUUAUGGAUAGAAUGAUUUGGUAACCUCUCCAACCAAUCCAAGGCUUUCCCCCGUAGAGAGAAAGGGAAUAGCCUCAACCGCAAAGCAUCCUCAGAGACAUUAGUUUGUUUGCUCCCCCAGCAAGUGUAAACAAACCCUUUCAAGUGCUUGUAUGCAUUUUGAUUUGGAUCCCCGGUGAAGAAUCUCUGAUAUUCCAACAAUGUAAGCAUGACAAUUGUGAUUUUAAAGUUGCCUACCCUAAUGUGCGGCGGGACUAUGGCACUUGCGUAUCCUUCAUUCGGCAACACCCAGUGUGUCGCCGCUCUUGGAGGAGGUGAGGAAGGAACGGGAAUGCAAAGUGUUAAUUUCGCAGCCUGAGAAUUUGUGCUUCGCGACCGCGAAGAAGAAUAAGACCUGGGCAAAAUUUAAAGUUCAAAACGUGGGUUUCAUAUGAUUUUUCAUAAUUUGGACCUUGAGAACUCGGGGUGAGGAAAUCUUUCGAGAGUUUUUUAAGAAAAUCAUUGGGGUAAGUGAUUCUAACCGGAUUGGUCUAUAUUUCAUGAAUCUAUUGUUAUUUUCAUCAUCUAAUUAGGGGUUUAAGUUAGAAAUUUGGCGAAAAAUUAUGAAAACUUCCUAGAUUAAAUUUUGGGAUUUUGAAAGGCGAUUUAAGGUCGGAUUUGAGUAAUUCUUAUAAGGUUGGAUUUGUUAUCGAAUGCGCAUUCGAAUUUUAUAAUUUUGGUCGGGUUCCAAGACGCAGGCCCGGGUUAACUUUUUGAGUUGCAUUUUUUAUUUCUUUGCAAAAAUUGUAACUUUAUUAUUCGAAUUAGCAUCCUAUAGUUUAUAUUUAUGGUAUGAAGUUAUUUUUGCUAGAUUUGAGCCAUUCAGAGUUGGAUAAUCGAGGGAAAGACCUUCUAGUAGAUUGAGUUAGCAUGUUUCGAGGUAAGUGUCAUACCUAAUACUGUGUGGGAAAAUUACCUCUUAGGAUUUGUGUUGUUUGUAACAAUUAUAAUGUGUGGAAGCCAUGUACAGAAGGUGACAAUUGUGUACACGGUCUAAAUGUGAAAAUUUAUCUGUUUUAGAUAUGUAGAUUCCUUCAUGCCUUAAUUGAUUUAUCUUAACAUGUUAUCUUCAUUAUCAUUAGUCUAUUUCACAUGCUCUAUUUAUCUUAGCUCUUAUUUUUUAAUUGCACUACAUAUUUAGUUGAAGUUCUUAUUUCCCUUAUUCCAUAUUCAUUAUCUAACCGUUGAAUUCUUACUUGGAGUUUUUGUUCUUUGAAUAUCUUGUUGUUGAAAUUGGUAAUGAGUUAUAAAGUUCGUGAUUCACAUUGAGGCAAAGUGUUAAGUUGUGAAAUACUAUUCUUGUUGAGUUAUUCACUUUCAGUUAUUAUUGUAGAAACUCUUGUGUAAAUUGUGGUUGGACUAUGGUCUAUUUAUUGUUAAAAUAUCGAUCUGGUUGGUUUCUUGGCAAGUUGUGAUAUUGGGCACUUGAGGUGCGAUUUAUGAUACGUUGUGAUAUUGAUACGUAUGUGGUGGUAUAAGGUUUUGGGUUAAAACGCAUCCGGUGAGAUAAGAUGGGCUUGAUAUGCGUAGCUAGUAGAGGAACUACUAGAAGCCACAUAGUGUGAUAAGGUGGGCUAAAAUGCGAGAUGCUAUUUUGAAAGAAAAAAAAAUUCGAAACCAAAUGCAAGGCUCCCGCGGUGAUAUAAGGAAAUAUUGUGAAUUAUUCUUGUGAUUUGAGACUAUGAGGUGAUACAUUGGUAGUAACUCUUGUUUGCUGCACUUGUCUUUGGUUGUGUUUUUCCUUAGCAUAUCAUUCUUUUUAUUCUCAGUGUUGCAUUAUUUGCUUUAGUCCCGUGUAGCUAACUUUAAUAUGUUAUUGUUGUUUCAAUUUCAUUGCCAUCAUUACUACACUUCCAUACACUUGUACUGUUUUUCUUAUCUAUUCAAGUAGGGUCUUGACCUGACCUCGUCACUACUCUGCCGAGGUUAGGCUUGGUACUUAUUGGGUACCAUUGUGGUGUACUCAUGCUAUGCUUCUGCACAUCUUUUUAUGCAGAUCCAGGUAUCUCCUACCAGCCCAGGUAUUAGCGAGAGCUCAGUUGCGUAGACUUCAAGGUAUAUAUACCGGCAUCCGCAGGCCUCAGAGUCCCCAUCUUCCUAGACUACUCUAUUUUCAUUAUCCUUUAAUAGACAUUGGUGAAUAGGAUUAUUAGGUACUACUAUUUAAUUGAGGGAGUUAUUUGAGAGUUAUUUGUCAUUUCAGUUAUAUUUCGCAUGUUUGUUUAGGCUUACCUAGUUUUAGAGACUAGACGCUACCACGAUAUCCUGCAGAAGGAAAUUUAGGUCGUGAAAUUUGCGCAAUUAGAUAGUCUACUAGGAUUUGGGUCUCCUUGGAUGGGAUUAUAUUUGCUAGCAAAAUUGUCGAAAUCACACAGUAUUGUUCUAGAGACGCCUAGUUAAUAUGGGAUAGGUGCUCGACUUCCAUGAAUAUACACAUACUGAUAGACAUUAUGUGAGUGACCAAGGACUCGUACCAAAUAUUAAGAGUUUCUGUUGAAUGAAAAGAGCUUACUCAGCAGCAUGUAGUGAACAUUGCUGAUCAGCUCAGUCUUUGACUGUCUAGUGUCUUUUAGCACAUGAAUCAAAAUAAAUAAAUAAAUAAUAAUAAUAAAACCAAGACGCCAUCCAUUUUUUAUUUUCUUUUCUUAAUUUUUUUUUUUAAAUCGUGUUGUAAACAUGUCCCACAUUUAUUUGUGGCAAUUGAAUCAUUGAAUUUUAAAUUGGACAGGUGUUGCACAUUUAAAAGUGCAUAUAUGCGAAACGGAGGGGAUCCUCACUGGAGAGGUCUGAAUUCUUUAUUUGGGUUCGAGACACGCUUUCAUAUAAGAAAAAAACUGUUAUUCAUAUCUAUUCAAUUCUAACAAAGUUAAUUAAAACCCACGCUAGCUGACGUAUGGGUGGCAUUCAUGUUUUUCUCUUCACAAGUGGAAAUGCAAAAUUCUACAGAUUCCACUCAUAAUUAUUCAAUUCUUACCUAAUACCCACGUUUGCCCCAUGCAUCCUUGUUAAUUUUAAUCAACUUUUUUUCUCUUCACAAGUGCGAAUGCAAAAUUAUAGGCAAGGACUAUUUACACAGCACAGUCCAUUGCUUUUCCUAAUAAUUCAAAGCUGACAAAAUAUAAUCAUUGCUUUUAUAUUUUUAUAUUAACAUAUCAUUUCCCUUGUGAAUCAUAAGAAAAUUACUAGUACUGCAAUUAAUAUAUUCAUGAGAAAGCCUUCUUAAACUGGGCCACUCCAUGUCGUGAAGCAAAUCGUGAAGAUGUACUAACAUUUCUCAAUUAUAAAUACAUCUCAUCACUGCAAGAGGUUCAAUAAUCCAAAACUAUGCACCAUUCAGACUGAGCAGCAGAAUAGUCCAACUUAGCAUCCAAAUCUCUUGAAAAAAAAGUAUGGAACAUCAAGGAUUAAGCACCACUAUGAGGAGAAUCCUUCUACCGAUUAACUGUCUAAUACUUGCUGUUGGUAUCUGUGGUGGUCCUCUAAUGAUGCGUCUAUAUUAUGUCGAGGGAGGUUCAAGAGUAUGGUUUAGAGUUGGUUACAAACUGCCGAAUGGCCACUCACCCUUAUACCUCUUGCUAUCUUAUACUUCUAUCAUUGAAAAACCGAAGGCUCUAAUGCCAAGUUUUACUUUAUAACACCCCGAAUUUUCAUUGCAUCAUUCGUCAUUGGCAUUGUUACUGGUGUUGAUGAUUUUCUCUAUUCGUGGGGCGGGUCAAAACUUCCCGUGUCGACCUCUUCACUUCUUCUUGCGGCACAACUUGCCUUCACGGCGGUAGGUGCUUUCUUCAUAGUGAAGCUGAAGUUCACACCCUACUCUAUCAACGCAGUUGUUCUAUUGACAGUUGGUGAUGUUUUAUUGGGUGUUCGAUCUAAUGAUGAUCGGCCAGAGGGUGUGACAAGUAAAGCAUAUAUUCUUGGUUUUAUGAUGACACUUGUGGCAGCAGUUUUAUAUGGAGUUAUUUUGCCUUGUAUUGAGUUGAUUUACUUGAAAGCAAAACAAGUUAUUACUGCUACGUUGGUGUUGGAGAUUCAGAUGGUCAUGUGUUUUGGUGCUACUGCCUUUUGCACUAUAGGAAUUAGGGGUGUACAUGGAUCGGGUUGGUUCGAUUUUUAUCAAAACCAAAUCAAACCAACUAUAUCAGUUUGGAUUGGUUCGGUUUUGUCGGGUUUUUCGGGUUUUCGGGUUUUUUUUGUUACAUGAAUAUUAUUUCAAUCUUACUUUGUUAAAAUCAUAGAUAAAGCUUUGAUAAGUGAAUAUAUGUUUAGUAAAUAUGGAAAAAAUUGACAAACAUAUGAUCUAUUAAAAUACUCUAAUGGAAGAAUUUUUUUAGUAACACAUGAUAGUUAUUUUCUUAUUCGUCUAACAAUAAUUUUUCGUUAAUUUACACUUUCAAAGUUAAUACAUGAGAGGAUCCCAAAUAUUUCUACAUUUUCUAAAGAAAAUUCACUAUAAGGUAUUAAAAAUAUAAAUAAAAUGUAUAUAUUUAUAUGUCGGUUUGGUUCGGGUUAUUUUACUCAAUACCAAACCAAGUCAAACCAAACCUAAUCGGGUUUUUAAUCGGUUUGGUUUGGCUUUUCGGUUUGGUGCGAUUUUCCGGUUCGGUUUGAACACCCCUAGUAGGAAUGAUUGUUAAUAACGACAUUAAGGUAAUUUUUCUUCCCCUAUAGCUCAUUUUUACCCAAGCAUCUUAUAAUUCACUCUGUCGCAUUUUAUUUUUUACAUUUUUAUAUUUUUAUAUUUAUUGAUAACAUGGUAAAAGAGGAAUUGACAUGUUAUUAAUUACUAGUUAGAAAUGCAAAAGAAAUUUACGGUGGAAGGGUGAAUAAUUUAAGUCUUUUCUAUAUUUAAUCUGUCCCAAUAAAAUAAUACAUUGUUAUAAUUGAAAGUGUUUAUGUUUAAACUACAAAUAUUAUAAAAUAUGUAUAAGACCCAAAUUUCAUUAAUUUAUUUUUCAUUUUUAAAUUUCGUGUCGAGACACAAAUUAUGUCACAUAAAUCGAAAAAGAGAUGGUAAUAUAUAUUUCUCGUUUGGUGUUAAUUACCAUUAGAUCCCUAAGGCUUUCAAAUGACCCGUCUAUCAACUUUCUCAUUAGGUGAUGAUCUAUUGGCGUUCACCAACGAUCAAAAGUCCAUCUUUUCGGAUUUCUUAUUUCAUUUCCAUCUUCACAAGAGGGAACAAAAUCAUGUAAAGAGUUGUGACUUGUGAGUUUGACUUUAGCAGUAGGAACCCUAAAUUAUUCGUAUCCUAAUUUCUGAACUCUUGACAUGGUAUAGACUUUUUUAUAUUGGAAUACAUCUAUAUCGUGGGUUUGGGUUGACUGAAGACAUUUUGCGUGCAUGAUGCAUUAUAUUAAAUUUGGAUAUAUCAAAAGUAUAUGUAAGCUAGAGUAAUACCCUGGAUUCGAAUAGAUUUACCUUAAUGUUUUGUGUCAUAUAUACUUUCAAGGUUUCAAUUAUAUCUUAGCUAUAGACGAUCUUUUUAAAGAGCAACGAUUAAGAAAUUGAUUAAAAUUUGUAGGCUAUACCAAGGGAGGCAAAACAAUUUAACCUUGGAAAAGCUAGAUAUUAUACAGUAGUAGUAUGGACUACCAUUGUUUGGCAGUGCUUCUUUUGUGGGUGUCAUUGAAGUCAUUUAUUGUUCUUCUUCUUUAAUGUCUGGGGUUAUGACCGCAGUUUUACUUCCUGUAUUAGCUGUAGUUUUCUUUAAAGAAAAUUUUCAGGUGAAAAAGGCCUUGCGUUUUUCCUUUCUCUUUGGGGUUUCGUCUCAUACUUUUAUGGAAAGUUCAGACAAACAAAGAAGCAGAAGAACAAAAGUCCAAAAACUAAGAUGACAACGAUGCAUACCGAGUCUGUUGGAUUUACUAUUUAUGUCAUGGCUAUAUAGAUAAAGAGUUUUUGUUUUUUGCAGAAAAUAAUGUACGUUAUUUUGUGAAAUACGUAUUCAUUAAUGAUGAAACGAGAAAUUUAUUCAACAGAGCACUUUUCUUUUAUUUUCAAUAUCUCUUCCAUCUUAAAAAGCAAUAUCUAAAACCCAAAUUGUUUAAUUUCACUCCAUUUUUCUCUUCACAAGUGGAAAAUGGUUUCAGGAAAAGUGGAAAUGCAAAUUUCUCCGCCAACCAGUAGUAUGGAUAUGGCUAUUUACAUGGCGCAAGUCAUGGUUGGGGUACUAUUCUAGUAAGGAAAAUAGUAUUUUUGUUCUAUGUAUUGUCACUUAAUUAUGAUUUAUUAUUAUAUAACUUAGAAAUUUUGACCAAUUAACAUAAAUGUGUGAUUUUAGUCCCUACAUUGACAGUAGUUUAACGAUGUUAGUCUCCGCAAAGGGUAAUUUUUGCCUUCUGAGUUCUGACACUGUAUCCUUUUUAUCCCCUCCUCUACAAAGUGCAUUCCGUUGAAGUUUUUAUCGUUAACAAGCUCUGGCAAAUUAAUGUUUUUUAGUUGGGUGAAUUAUCUUUCAACGAGACAAAAAUAUAUUUGGUAAUGCUUCUUUGUGGAUAUUGUUGGAGUCGAUUACAUGCUCUUCUUCUUUGAUAUCUCGAGUUAUAAUCGUUGUUUUACUUCCUACUACAUAGGUAUUUAAUUUUCUUUAGAAAAAAAUUAAGAUGAAAAGGGUCUUCUUCUUUUUGUUUCGGAGAGUUUAGGUAAAUAAAGAAGCAAAAGAAUAGAAGUCCAAAAACUAAAAUGACAAUGACGCACGCUAAUAGCCUGUUAGGCCAAGCUGCAAAAAUCAGCUUAUUUUGAGAAGUGUUUUUUUUUAAAAAGUGCUUUUCUCAAAAGUACUUUUGGUGAGAAGCAGUUUGUGUUUGACUAAUUAGUUUGAAAAACACUUCUGAGCAGCAAUUAGUAUUUGGCCAAGCUUUAAAAAACUGCUUCUAAGUGUAUUUUUCUCAAAAGUGCUUUUGGAGAGAAGUUACUUUUUUCUGGUUCUUCAAAACUGCUUCUGCUUCUCCUUAAAAACAUUUUUUUCCUUUCCAAAAGCUUGGUCAAACACCUCAAUUUUUGCCCUAAAGUGCUUGACAAAAAAAAAGCACUUUUGGCCCAAACAGGCUAUAAGUCUGUUUAAUUUACUGUUCGUGGUUAUAAGGAUAAACAAUUUUUAAUUUUUGAUACAAAAUAAUCUACGUCAUUUUCUUUUUGUUGCUACUUUCAUUAUGUUUGUGAAAGAAUCUCGUUCUUUGAAAUUUCUGUUGUUGCUCUUAAAUCUGCGAUACAACACUUAGAAAUAUUUGUAGUUGCCAGUAACUUUUCAUUUAGCAUGUCCAAUUGACUAAUUCUAACAUUACAAUUCAUGUACGCAAUAAGAAAGUGACGCGGAAGCUCUCAUAUAUAUUUCAUGACUAGUGGAUAUGCCCGCGCUCCGCGCGGUGUAUUUAUCAAUUUUUAACUCACAACUAUUAAUAAUUUGUAUUCAGUUCUAUGUCAAAUCUUGAAAAAGUUUGGUUGUUGCUAUUUCAAUAUUUCCAUCACCCAAAGUAACUAUUAUUAUAAGCAAUCUCUUUUAGAAGUUAUUUCAUCAUAUGUAAAAAUGUAGCUUCAAAAAAAUAUCAUAUUUUAGUAUCGGUGAAUACUAUAUUCAGCACUGAAUACAUAUGCAAGGACGUACAGAAUACUUACUCACAAUUUUUUCUUUAUAGACCAAAAGAAAUAGGCACUAUGUCCAUAGAUUAGACAUGAAAAGAUACAAUUAGCACUAAAUAUAUGAGACAGGAAACAAUAUUAUUUCUUUGAUCAUCAUCCCAAAUACACGACAAAAUAGACAUAGUUAGAACCACAUCAAUAGCAGUCAUGACUAUGAAAUGGUGCAAAGAGAUAUCCUAAUACAUGGAUAAAAUAUAGAUAAUUCAUACCUUUAGUUUGGAGUUCUAUAUAUCACUACAAGAAAUUUGAUUUUUAGCGUCCACUUCUUAACGAAGGGAAUAAAGUCUGGUCGUUAUAAAUGUGUACUUAUAGCAACCAAAUUUUUUUCGGUCGUUGAAAUUAAUUAUUAGCUCAAUAUUAACGAGAGGAUAAUAUUAGGCCCUUAAAAUAUAACAAUGCCCGUCGUUAUUAAUUAAUAAAAAUAAAAAUUGGCGCUAACUUUUCCCUCUUUUUUUCCGACCCACGGCUGGAUCCGCCAACCUCCCCCAAAAAAGAAGGAAAAAACCCUGAGACUUCUGUGAACAUUUAUUUCGUAAACCUGAAACUGUAAUUUCUCCUGCAACGGGCGAAGUAAACUUCAGCGAAAUUACUGGGGCUCAGACGUCAAUAUCAUCGUAUUAGAGAAAUUGCUGGUCACCUCCAUUGACAAUAACUGCUCAUCUUCGAGUUUCUUCUAAUCAAGGUAAGGUUCGAAAUUGUACCCUUUUUAUGUUAAUUUUAGUUUAGAUGAAACCCCAGUUCUAAACCAUGGUUGUUCAAAUUCAAUUAUUAUAAAGUUUUGAACAGAAAAAGUGAGUGAAAAGCUAGGGUUUUAAGGGCAAAAUUUAUUCUCUGCUUUUAGGUUUUCUCUUUGAUUUUCUGUUCACGUUUCAAAUUCCAGAAAAAAAUUACAGAAAGAGAUAUACAAAGAUUUAAGUGAUCUUCUCUGAUUUUCGGCUAUUCCUCCUCUGAUUUUGAGUUAAGUUUCUUUCAUAUACAUAGAUGUAAACAAAAAAUAUAUAUAUUUUUUAGUUUUUGACCUGUUGAUCUUCGUUCAUGGAUCUUGCUUGAGCUUGGUUGGUGUUUUGCGGGUUCGGACGUGACUGUUCGAGGACGAAAUUCAUGGUUCCGAGUUCAAUUAGUUGCUUUUUUCCUCCCUUGAAUUUUGGAGUCAAAAUCUGUGUAGUUGCUGAUUAUUCAAUUGCUAUUAAAUAAUCAUCUGGACUGAUUGAUCGUCUCGGUGAUUGGUAACCGGUUGAAUGCUAAAACUGAGAAAAGUGCAAGUUAGAAAGUGAGGAAGUCUAUGAUAUCCAUGUUUUGGUUUUUCAAUAUGUUUUUAAUGCCUAGUUGGUGUUUUUUGCAGUGUGUUAUUGAGUAAGAGAACUUUAGGUCUCAUGUUAAACUUGACUACAACAUCUCUGCUUUCCACUAUUUAUCUAUAUACUUCCUUUAAGUAAUAUACAAAGUGAAUAAUCACAUAUAGUGUAAUAUCUAUCCUUGUUUUAUGUACCAAACUCCAAAGCAAAAUCCAAUAUGUACUUCACUGAAUAGAAAGUGCUUGCCAUUGCAAGUGUUAUCUUACCAUUUCCUGAAGAUCCCCUCUAGUCUCGUUCUUUGCUAUACAAGACUUGUUUUGAUUAACCGUGAUGUUUUCUACUAGAAUUAGAAGUGCGGGCCUUCUAUAAUAGCAUUUAGUUUCCUUCAAGAGUUCCUUUUCUUCUCAAAGAUCUAUCCUAAUAAGUCUCAUGCAAUUGCUCUUGUUUCCUUAAUCUUUCAUGUGUUCCAUUUUAUAUUUAGUUAGUGUUUAAUGUACUUAUAUUUUCUAUGAUGCUGGUUAAGAAUCUUCCAUCACCAUUGAGAUAAAUAUAUUUUAAAAAAGGAAUGUCUGGUCCUGCUUAUUUUCAAUAAAUGAACUUUCUGCGAUGGAACUAUUUUUGGCUCCUGUGAGAAACCUUUUCCUUAAUAAGAAAGUUUGGCUGGCAUUCUGAGUAUGCGUAGUGCCUUCAAUGGCAGUAGAUUAGGUUCCCAAAUCCUAAGGCCCUGCUGCCUCAUUUCAGUUGGAAAUAUUGCUUUGUAAUUGCAAUAUACUAGAAGUCUAUCUUUAUGUUUUUAUUCCUCCUGUCCUGGCCUUAUGACAAGUAAAAGUUGAGUCUGGUACUGUAUACAUUGGUUUCCUAGUAAUGAGUUCUAUCACUCCCUUUCUAUUUUAUCUAACUAAUUGUGAAUCGAGCUUCAAAAUGAGCCGUUUAAGGGUAAGCCGGGUUUGGGGUAUAAAUUGUUUGGUUAGAUAAUUGAUUUCUUUACGAAUCCAUUCACUUAAAAGUAAGUAAAGCUUUCUUGUUGAUUCUCUAGAUUUGUUUUUGAGUUUCCUUUAAGAGAAUAUCUUGAUAAUGAAUUAGUUGGAAAGUCUUUGUUCACUAAAACAAUAUGUUGUUGGAUUUCGCUUUUGAUUAGAGCCGUAUUGUUGUUUGUAUUCAUUCUCGAAUACAGAGCUUCCUUCUUACACUUGGAGAACUCAUGAGGUAAGAUAUUUGCUGUUUGGUCUUCGUUAUGUCAUAUUGGGUAUCACUUUAUUAAAAUUAUUUGGAUGUGCUAGUGAUGCUAAGUGUUUUGGAGACUUCGGUCAAGUAGUAAGACUGACACUUUCAAGUAAGUAAUAGAGCUCGUAAGAUCAAUCAAAUAGUAAGAGCUCAAGGUGAUGUAACUGGUAGUGAAUAUUUGAAGGAAUAUGGAUAUCAACAGUGCGAAGUUUUCAAGAUUUCAUGUGUUGAAGAUUUAAAGUCAUGUUUAAACUGAUACAUGCAAGGUCCGCAGCCAUAGUCUUGCUCUAUGCUUAUCAAGGCAUUCCAGUUUGUUGGGAUUAUUUUAGUUUUAUUUGUUUAAGGACUAUUUGGAGACAUUGUUGGCAGGUCUCUCCUUACUCCACUCAUUUUCUCUUGUAGAAGCUAAAUUUGAUUUUGGCUCCAGAUAUACUAUUUUUAAUAUAGCUUGUGGGGUAAAAUUAACUGACAUAGUUGAUUUGCAAUAUUGAAACUUAAAUUCACAUCCUAAUUAGGAUAAACUCUUCAAACACCCCCAGAGUUUCUCUAGCUUGGAUUAGCACAUGUCAGAUUCAAACUAGUUGCCUUGUAUUAGUUUGUUGUAAUUUAGUACCAUCUUGGUGUCUUUUAAUAAAAUCUUACCUUAUUAUAAAAAAAAAAAAACACAUGUUAAAUUCAUACUGUAAUUUGAUGCUGUCUUGUGUACGUAUUCUGUUCCCAUAAUACCUCGACCUGCCGAUGCAGCAGAAACUAAGCAUCUGGUGAAUGGACACAUUCUUUAAGGUCAGUAAAUGACAGUAGUUUUUACUUAAGAGGAUUGGAAAUGGCUUUUUGAAUGAGAGCUAGGGAGCAUGGGAGAGAGUUUUCUGCUCCAUUGUUUCCUCAUUAUUGACAUCAAAUUCUCCAUUUAACUUGUCUCUGAUUGGACAGUAGCUUGAUGUGGUUUAGCAACAUAAUUUGUAUCUUAGAUUUUCUGUUUUAUGCUCAUAUUAAUAAUUAUUUUGACACAAGAGUUGUUUUCUGAUUAGCUGUAUAAGUCUCGUUGAAAAAUACCACUAACUUUGCUUUACUCAAUUUAUUUUCCGGCCUGCAACUGUUUGUUACAAGUUGUAUAGCUAAAAAUGGCUAUAAGUCAUAGCUAGGACCUCUGCCUAUGCUUUCCAUUUCAUUCGGAUGAAUCUUUAUAUCACUGUGCAUCUAUCUGAUCACACAUUUGACAGAUGAAGCACUGGUGUCAAUUUGGCAAAUCACCAAGUAUAUUUAUGCAUAAGCAUACUUCCUUUGCCUGUUAAAUAGAACUAAAUAUAGACUCAUGGUCACUUCACUUUUUUCUUUUAAGAAUCUACCCUAUCUAUCAAUUAGAACUCGUAUAACCUUUAUAAGCUUUAUCAUCUCUUUUGAUACACAGAGUUAAAUUUUUAUAUUUCUAGUUUAUAAGAUAAGUUUCAUAUUUAAUGAUACUUGUGAAAUAUUGUAGGACAAAUUUGACAGUGAUGACGUAAAUGAUCAACGAGAUCAUGUCCUGAAACAUAUGAGAAAGUUAUGGAACAAUUGGAGAGGAUCGAUGCACAAGAAUAUUAAGUCUAAGUCAUUCCGUUUUGCUCUAAAAGAUGUGCCAAAGGGGUAGACAAGAGUGAUUGGGAAUGGCUGGUCAAGGAGCAUUUUCUUACUGAAAAAUUUAAGGUAUGAUUUUAUAGCUAUUUAUUAACAUCGUGUUAUAUUAAGUGGUUGACCACAAUUUUGUCGGUAUGUUGUUAAUUUAGGAGACAAGUACAAGAAACUCGUUCAAUAGGUCAAUGCCUCAUCGUAUGGGUAGUAAGCCAAUUAGGGAGAUCAUUUAUUAAUUGGUGAGUAAAUCUUAUAAUUCUAUUAAGAAACCUCAUCUUUGUUACAAAGAUUUCUUUGACUUGUUUAUUUGAAUGUGAAGGGAGGUAAAGAUGGCAAUCCACCAGAUGUGGCAACUAAUUUUUUUUAGACUCGUAAGAAGAACAACAAGCUUGUCGAACCUGAAACCAAUAAGAAAUAUGUAUGUUUAUUGAUUCAAUUUACAUUAUUUAUUUACUGUAUUGUAUUAUGUUAAUUAAAUUAUUUUUUAUUUUACAGGCUAAAAUCAAAGAAGUGGUGCAAUCUGAAUCGUCUCUUACAAAUAUUGAGGUUGUAGAAAGGUGCUUCGGACCUCAACAAAAGAGUCAUGUAGUUGGAUUUGGUGGUGGAAUAACUCCUAAGGAGUUGAAAGGUGGCAACUCCUCUAAAGCUGCAUUGUUGGAAAAGCUGAAUGCUACUGAAAAAGAAAAUAAAUCACUAAAAGGACGCCCGAAAAGGUUAGAGAGUAAAUAUGAUGAGCUAGGGAGUAAAUACGCACAGCUUGCAAAGAUAGUGUUUGAUCAGCCUUCAUCACCAUCUUCAAGUGAUCAAUAUAAUGAAUCAUUUAACAGGUUAGUAGAUUAAAAAUCCUAUUUUACUCUGAUGAAAAUAUUGCAAUGUUCAUGUGAAUUUUUUUCUUUAUGUCAUUAAGGUUUAUGAAUAAACAAAAAUAUAGUCAAAUGAAUUUAAGCAAGAAUGAAGUUUCAAAUAUUAUGUACAUGUUUAGGAAGAUAAUCUUAAAAAUAUAAAAUGCAAUUUGAGAAAAUUGCUAGCUUUCUCUUUUGCCUUUUUUUAGUUUGCAUUGCAGCCUAAUGCUUUUGAAGUCCUCUCUAAAACUGAGAAACAAGAUUUACUCUAUACUUGCUCUGUUGAACUGAGUAAAGCUUAAAGUUCAGUCAAGGUUUUGACGUACUUAGCAAAGUGUGGAUUUAAUAGAUCAUUCUAAAUGAUAUGAAUGAACAUACUACCACAAUAGAUCAUUCUAAUACUGCCAUAUGGAAUUCAAUGGCUAGCACUUGAUUUUACAAGUUGAUAAUACUCCUGUUUGUGAUUAAAUUCCUAGCUGAAAAUAUAGGAGCUAUUAUGCACUGAAUUUUAGACCAAAGAUGCUUCAUUUUAGACAUGAGUAGUGUAAGUAAAUUGAGGAAACGUAGUGGAAGGGACUAGAAAAAUUGACUAUUUGUUGUCUAAUGCAUAUUAUGUGUUAUCCAAUUUAUCUGCUUAUGCUCUAUCUAGGAGGUCGUGGUAUUGUUGUUUAUUUUCUGAUUUGCUUUUGUUCUAUGAUUCUCUUAUCAACUCUACUAAUUCUAUGUAUAGUAUAGGUAUACCCAGGCUAAGCCCGGGCCCAAUGGCUAUUUAGUAUUUGUAGUAUUUGAUUCUCAAAUAAUGCUAUCUCUAGUUUUACAAUAAGUGUCUUUAAGAAGAAAAGACUUUCCAAAGCAUUUAUUGUUACGAUUUUGCUAAAUACAGUUAAAUAUAUGUAUAGCAACAUCCUCAUAUAAAAAUUCAUUCACUAUAAAAGCCAAAAAAAAUAUUUGGAACUAAUUUUUAUGUUAUAUUUUACCUUUCUAUAACAGUUUUUUACCUAUAAAAACAACAUCCAUCUUUAUAGCAGUACACUCUUUGUAAAAUUACUCUUGCUUCAGUGAUUUGCUGAAAAAUUUUGCUACUUUUUAUUUUUGGUUAGAACAUGGUGCUGAAGUACUGAAGAGAAAUUAUUUUUUAAAUGUAAAAUCACGAGUAGAAUCCUUGCUGUGAAGGAAGAAAAAACAAAGACCAGCUUGCUUUUAAAAUUUAUUCCUAAUUCAUAUUUUAAAUAGUUUUGAAAGGUUAUAUAACUUGAGAAUUUUAAGAUAGGAAGAAGUUAAUUUCUUUUAUAUAAAAAAGGCAAAUUUUGAGAGCACAUGUGCCCAAAAAAGGGUGAAGCUGACACAUAUCUAUCUCCAAGAGAGGUGUCAUUUACUUUGACAUCAACACCUUAAUGCUUUUUGGACAUUGAAAAGAGGAUAGAUUUACGAAAGUACAACAAAGCAUUUAUUGUAAAAAGUUGCAAAAGAAGGGGCAAAAUAAGACUUUAAAAAAAGGCAAAUCAACACGUUCGCAGUACAAGAAUGCAAUGGGAGUUAUAGAUAAGAAUCCUGUUUUUUCAGUACACAAUCGAAAGUCAAAAUAUUUUCACCACAAGAUGCAACACAGGUCAGCAAGCAGAACAUGAAAUUCCAAAAUUAACAUCGGGAUAAAUGAAAUUCCAAGAGGCAUACACGACGACGGGGAGGUGCUUGGCUUUCCUUUAUGUAUAAUAGUAAUAUGUUAUAUCUUCAGCUCCGCCUAACUUUUUACCAUCACGAAAAAGAAUAAAUAUAAUACUUUAAUAUCAAUAUACAUAAGACUGACGUAUGAUGGGAUGUUGAAGAGAUUCGCCAGAACAACCAUGACAUUGAAAUACACAAUUUUUCUGGCACAUCUGCAUUUACAUGCAAAUGAUUAAGUAGGCGUUUGGCCUUAAUCUGUUAUUUUCAUUUUUUUGUGAAAAGUUUUUGACUUUAUUACUGUUUGUAAAUGAAACUGAAAUCCAGCGAUGUUCAGAUUUUGAACAUUGUAAAUGCAACAACAUGGAGAUAGCUCUAUAAGAGAAAUAAUCAAAACUCCCUGGGGCAACAACAGUUGCUUAGUUUCCUUUAAUUCGAUUACCCGGCGCCGUUAAAAGAAUGAAUCGAUUUAGGAAUCCAAUUGCACAUAAAGUUAGUAAUAACUGGACAUGCCUCUUUUCCUAUUGUUGUUUUGUCUGCACAAGAAAAUGCGCAGGCUCCCACUUUGCUGCAUAACCAAAUUUAGAUGUGAUGUACUUCCUAUGUACCCCUGUCAGUUUCCUGUUGCUGCCUUCUAGUGACAUCUCACAAUCCAUCUCGAGCACUCCAUAAGUUGAUCUUCCGAGUAACUAGUAUGCCACUCGCAUAUCUUACUCCAGUGCUGGACACCGUAGAGUGUGGUCUGAGCUGUAUAGAUUGCUGCAGCAGCUAUGAAUGACGGCGGAAACUUGAGCAUUUCUGAUCUUUGUAGUUUUUUUACUUCCUCGUUUAUGGACAUUAGUGUAGGCUUUAAUGUAUCUGAUCUUUCUUCUUUAGUUGUUUAUUUUUUGCUACUAAACUGGCAUAAAUUUGUUAAUUUGACCGAUCAAAAAUUUGAAGUCCAAAGAACCUAUCCUUGAAGAAAGUGGAGAUCAAGUUGAAGUACAAGAGAUUUUUGGUUUGUCAGAGAUGGUUUAAAGACAUUGUCUUAUGUACAUAUUUAUGUUGCAAUUUUACUUUUUCUCUUUUUAGGAAUUGUUAAAAAUGAUGUCUUACAAUUUGGAUCGAUUUAUGGUAAAUAUGAUACUUUAGUUCUUUGUAUUAACAAGAUAUUGGUUUAUUCUCCAAUGUUGUUGGCCGUGUAUGAAAGCUUAUAAAUAAUAAUAAUUGUUAUUCAUGUAAUUUAAAUUUUUGUAAUUAUAUUUAUUACAUUUUCAUAUUAGCAAAGAAAUAUGUGGUCAUUAGAACUCUUUAACGAUAGGUUUCUCAAACAGAUAAACGACCAUUAAUGAAGGAAAUUUUGGCUGUUGAGAGUAAUUAUAUAGUUAAGGAAGGGAAUAUCGGUCGUUAAAAGCACUUGGAUUGACUUAAUUAGUUGUUGUAACUAAAGACUUUUAACGACCGGAUAACAAGUUAGCGAGGGGAAAAUUCUAUUGCUAAAAAGCAUGUAUAACGACCGAAGAUUAUGCCGUCGCUACAGAACCUUUAACGACUGAAUUGUAAAUCGGUCGUUAAUUUUUAACGUCGGAGCUUUUAACGACCGGUGACGACCGGAUUUUUUCCGGUCGUUAUUAACUUUUAACGACCAGAAUUGGAUUUUUAACGACCAGAUUUCCCCUCGCUAAAGGCCUAUUUUCCUGUAGUAUAAUCUAUAGGGAUUCUGCAUAGUAACCUUGAAGGAAGAUGAGAAAAGCAUAGAAAUGAAAAGCUUUCCCUUAAAGAUGAGGCCGAAACCUCACCUUUAUUAGAAUGGUCGUGAAUACAACACGAUGAUUCCUAAAUACUGGAUGGAAACUAAAAAAAGUUACAACAAAACUAUUUCUUGAACCUCAAUAUUCAUCAUUGUGAAACACUAUUUAUCAAUAAAACUAAGAAAGAAAGCUAAGGCAAUCAGUGUUUUAAUUUCUAGAAGGCAAUCAGAUCCUUCUAAGCUACUAAUGAAAAUGAUAGUAACUGCUAGAUUUUUCUAUCUAUUAAGAGGAAUGUUGAAGUGCUGCAAUGACAGCUGGAAACUAAGGCUAUCUGUUAGGUGACAAGCAAUGAUUGUAGCUUAUUGGUAGUUAGUUGCUAAUGGUUAGUUAUAACGGAAUUAGGAAGGUUGUUAGUGAUAAUUAAAUGGAGAUAGUUAGUUGUAAAUAUAUAUACACAUGUAUAUAUCAGAAAAGGAUUGACUUCAUUUUGUAAUGAGAUCUGUUUUCUCUCAAUACACAGAAAUUACAACUGACCCAGAAGCUUCCACUCACAAUCCUCAUUUUCUUUCUUCUUAGUCGAGCUUAACCACUAGUCAAUAAUGGUGGAUUUAACAUGGUAUCAGAGCUAAGAGAAUCGAUCGGAGCUGUGAAAAUCUAGCUUUAAGAGUUGUUCUGUGGAAUUGUUGAGAAAAUUUUUCGAUUGUUCUUCGUCUUCUUCAAAAUUCCCAAUUUUUGAGCAGACCGAUAAUGGCUGAGAUGAACAUUGACAAUCCGCGACAUCCAUUGUAUCUACAACCUUCAGAUGCGCCGGGAAAUGUGAUAAUUUUCGUUCGUUUGACUGGGAGCGAGAAUUAUUCGGUCUGAAGAAGAGCAAUGAAGAUUGCAUUGAGAGCUAAGAGAAAACUAGGGUUCAUAGAUGGUACAUGCACCAAGGAUCAAUUCACUGCUGAUCUAGGCGAGGACUGGGAACGUGUUAAUGCUACAGUUUUGACUUGGAUUAUGAAUACUAUCUCGCCGGAGCUGGUGAACGUGAUAGUAUAUGCCAGCAAUGCUCAUGAAGUUUGGACUGAUUUGCAGGAUCGUUUUGACAAGAUCAAUGGAUCAAGGAUCUAUAAUCUUCAACGAGAAAUUGCUACAAUCUCCCAAGGUACUUCCAGUAUCUCUGCUUAUCAUUAUAGACUUAAUCUAUUGUGGGAUGAGUAUAGUGCACUUAUUCCAACUCUGCCUGUGAUUCCUGAAACAAGAGAAUUCAUAACACAUUUAGAACAACAGAAAUUUUUUCAAUUUUUGAUGGGAUUAAACGAUAGCUUUAGUGCCAUUAAAAGUCAGAUGCUGCUCAUGUCACCAUUACCAAGUGUGAGUCGUGCUUAUGCUAUGUUGAUUAAUGAAGAGAAUCAAAGGAAGGUCCAUAUGACCAAUACACCUAUGAAUGAGGUGAAUGAUUCUACUGCCUUAAUGAGUUCAAGAGAUAAUUCACAGAAGUUCAAAAGGUAUGGAAAUCUAUAUUGUGAGUAUUGCAGAACCAAGGGUCACACUAAGGAUACUUGUUACAAAUUGGUGGGCUAUCCACCUGGUUUAAAGGGAAAGAAGAAGCAGGAAUAUUGACAAGCUAAUGCAACCAUAAGUGAUGGAUUUCAUGCCAAGGAUGAUGUGUUCCAAGCCACCACAACUGUAGAUUCUAAUGUGGCAAGACAAGGAAUGCACAACUACUUCACUGAUGAGCAGUACAACCAGAUAAUAAAGCUAUUGAAUAUGGACAAAGGAGAAGAAUUUGCAGCUAAUAUGGCAGGUAAUACUGAUUCUCAACUGACUCAAACGUGUGAUACUCCUUGGAUCAUUGAUACUGGAGCAACAAACCACAUGACUUCAAAUAUUAACCUGCUGAAUGACAUAACUAAGUUGUCUAACACCAAAAGAGGUAAUGUUCAUCUGCCAAAUGGUAAAAUAGUACCAGUUAUGUACCAAGGAAAGUGUAAAAUCACAGGUGGUGAAUCAAUUCAGAAUGUUUUUUAUGUGCCUGACUUCAAGUACAACUUACUAUCAGUCUCAAAAUUGACUAAGGAGUUGUUUUGCUCAACACUUUUCUGUCCAUCAUUCUGUGUAUUCCAGGACCUAUACACUGGGAAAGUGAGGGAGAUUGUUAAAGAAAAGGGUGGCAUUUACUUGCUAUUACCAGAUGGAUCAAGUGCAAAUAAGCUCAAACAACAAAUUAGAGGUUGUUUGGCAGAAAAUGCUAUAUCAGACAACAAUGUAUGGCACAGAAGGCUAGGACAUGUACCAGCAAGAGUGAUGAGGCAGCUGGCAUUCAUGAAGAACAAGGUGCCUAUAGAUUGCAACUUCAAUACAUGCACUAUAUGUCCAUUAGCAAGACAAACUAGGAAACCUUUUCCCCUUAGUACAACUAGAGCAGGAGUAAUUUUUUAGUUAGUGCAUAUAGAUAUUUGGGGACCUUACAAAGUACCUACCUCUAAUGGAAAUAGAUAUUUUUUGACACUUCUAGAUGAUCAUUCUAAAAUGAUUUGGGUGUUCUUAAUGAGAUUGAAAAGUGACACUCUUGUGCUUCUAAAGUCUUUUAUCAAGAUGGUGAAUGUGCAGUUUAACCAUAAUAUUAAAUGCCUUAGAACUGAUAAUGGAGCUGAAUCUUUUAGCUCUGAAUGUACAGCCUUUUUAUUAGAUAAUGGGAUACUACAUCAAAGUAGUUGUCCACACACUCCACAACAAAAUGGAGUGGUAUAAAGGAGACAUAGGCAUAUCUUAGAGAUGGCAAGAACACUAAGGUUCCAAGGUGGUAUACCACUACAUUUCUGGGGAGACUGUGUCCUAGCAGCUGUGUAUCUGAUAAAUAGAUUGCCAUCUUCUGUACUAAAUGGAAAAUCACCAUAUGAGGUUUUUCACAAAUCACCACCUUCACUACUGCACUUAAGGGUCAUUGGGUGUCUUUGUUUUGCUACAAUUACCAGGCAGCAUGAUAAACUUCUGCCUAAGGCAGUAACAACUGUCCAUAUGGGAUAUUCCACAUCUCAAAAGGGAUACAGAUUAUACAGUCUCAAGGACAAAAAGUUCUUUGUCAGCAGAGAUGUUACAUUUAGAGAGGACGUGUUCCCAUUCUUGAUGUUGAAAGAAGGAAAAGUACCUCCAUUAUUUUUUGAAGCAAACGGAUACCAUGCAACAGAACAAUAUGCAGCUCCACAACAACAUAACUCUAUUCAGGAAAUGCAGACUCCUAAUCAUGAACUAGAUCAACUACAUGUUGAACAUGAUGCUACAAUAUCUCAGCUGGAUGACUUAUCUAGCAAUGAUGCCGAGGAAAUCCAAACUAUUGAGAUACCACAUGAGGAAACAUCACAUAGGCAGCUCAGAAGAACCAGCAGAGGGUCCAAACCACCAGUAUGGACCAAAGAUUACAUAUGUCCAACUAUGAAACCUUCCUCUUCUACUUAUCAAUAUCCGCUGUCCAACUACAUGGGGUAUGACUCAAUAAGUAAUGCUUAUCAAGGUUACCUUACUGCAAUAUCAACAGAUGUUGAACCUACAUCAUACCAUUAGGCAAUGAAGGUUCAGAAGUGGAUAGAUGAUAUGCAAGCUGAAAUUGAUGCACUAGUCAGUAGCAACACAUUGGAGGUGGUUCCUAUUCCUAAAGGCAAGGUUCUCAUUGGUUGCAAGUGGGUAUACAAAAUCAAGCAUAGAUCAGAUGGAACAAUAGAGAGGUAUAAAGCUAGAUUAGUUGCUAAAGGUUACAGUCAACAAGAGGGGUUGGACUAUCAAGAAACAUUUUCUCCUGUGGUUAAAAUGAUAACCAUCAGGACUGUCAUUGCCUUAGCAGCCAUGCAUCAGUGGCCAUUGUUUCAAAUGGAUGUUCACAAUGCCUUCCUCCAGGGUGAUCUUGAGGAAGAAGUAUACAUGCAGUUGCCUCCUGGAUUUGGCAGCCAAGGGGGGAACACAGGAUGUAGACUACUCAAAUCCUUAUAUGGCCUCAAACAAGCAUCUAGACAGUGGAACCUCAAGCUCACUAAUGCACUCCUACACGCUGGUUUCAAACAAAGCAAACAUGAUCAUUCUCUAUUCAUCUUGAAGAAACACAACAGACAAGUUAUAAUACUUGUGUAUGUGGAUGACCUUCUUAUUAUAGGUGAUGAUGUUGGUCUCAUUCAAGAAGCCAAGAACACCUUACAAAAUAGCUUUAAGAUAAAGGACAUAGGAACUUUGAAAUACUUCCUAGGAAUAGAGGUGUGCAUGUCAUAACAGGGAAUCUUGCUUUGCUAAAGAAAAUAUGCUUUGGAGCUAAUUACAGAGUUAGGAUUAUCAUGUUCCAAACCUGCCUUAACUCCAAUGGAGCAGAACAAGAAACUUACCACUGCUGAAUAUGAUGAGCACUGUGAACUCAGUGAUGAUACAUCAUUAGAAGAUGUAAGAGAAUACCAAAGACUGGUUGGGAAGCUGCUUUACGUGACACUAACCAGGCCAGCCAUAGCAUAUAGUGUGCAAACCUUGAGUCAAUUUAUGCAGUCCCCUAAGAAGUCACACCUUGAAGCAACCUACAGAAUUGUGAAGUAUGUGAAAAAUGAGCCAGGAUUAGGAGUGUUGAUGAGUACAGAAAAAAGUACAGCCUUAAGAGCAUUUUGUGAUGCAGACUGGGCAAGCUGUCCAAAUUCAAGGAAAUCUGUAACAGGGUACUUGGUGAAGCUGGGGAACUCCUUGUUAGCUUGAAAGUCGAAGAAACAAAACACAGUAGCAAGAAGCUCAGCAGAAUCAGAAUACAGGAGCAUGGCCCUGACAGUAGCUGAACUUAUAUGGCUACUAGGUUUAUUUAAGGAGUUAUAAGUCAAUAUUGAUGCCCCAAUUCAACUGUUUACAGACAGCAAGGCAGCAAUGCAGAUAGCUAACAAUCCCGUGUUUCAUGAAAGAACAAUACACAUAGAAGUUGAAUGCCAUUUCAUAAGAGAGAAGGUGCAGCAAGGAAUGGUACAUCCUGAGUAUGUGCCAACAGAAGAGCAAGAAGCAGACAUUUUGACAAAGGGGCUUGGAAGUAUGCAGCACUAUCAUUUGUUAUCCAAGCUAGGGCUGUUGAAUAUCUUCACACCAUCUAGCUUGAAGGGGGUGUUGAAGUGCUGCAAUGACAGCUGGAAACUAAGGCUAUCUGUUAGGUGACAAGCAAUGAUUUUAGCUUAUUGGUAGUUAGUUGCUAAUGGUUAGUUAUAACGGAAUUAGGAAGGUUGUUAGUGAUAAUUAAAUGGAGAUAGUUAGUUGUAAAUAUAUAUACACAUGUAUAUAUCAGAAAAGGAUUGACUUCAUUUUGUAAUGAGAUCUAUUUUCUCUCAAUACACAGAAAUUACAACUGACCCAGAAGCUUCCACUCACAAUCCUCAUUUUCUUUCUUCUUAGUCGAGCUUAACCACCAGUCAAUAAUGGUGGAUUUAACGAGGAAAGAUAGCUCCUAAUAAUGUCACAAACUUUCAAAAUCCUUUGGAACAGAACCAAACACACACACACAAAAAUAUGGGUGAAUCUGCAAACAGUAAAAAUCACCUUCAUUCUUCCGUUUAUUAUUGCUUAUUUUUACAUAUAUAUUUUGCGUAAAGAUUACUUUUAUUUGAACUGAUGAACUUGUCUUUUCUAUUUCCUGUUAUGUAUAUUUCCUUUCAAAAUUAAUAGAGCAAGUAAAAGAAUAUUAUCAUAAGUACAUUAGUGCAAUGUGGUGCUAGUUCUUCAAGAAGCUUCGUUCUUUUACUUCUCUCUUCUCACUUGUGGAAUGAGAAGAAUGAGUCAAAAAAUUGUAAUAGGAAUUAUAUCAAAACAAUAUAAAAUAAAAAUAUUCAUUCCUUUCUAGGAUGGCAAUGGGACGGUGUGGGGCGGGUUACAGUGUUUGUGGGGGCGGGGCGGAGCGGAGCGGGGCGGGUUCUAAUAUAUAUAUAUAUAUAUAUAUAUAUAUAUAUAUUUUUUAAAACGCGAGGCGGGUUGCGGGUCAAGAUUUUAAUAUGUAAGAAACGCAUAUAAAUACACAUUUGUCAGAUUAGCAUUGUGAUCACCAGAAAAUGACCGUGCUAAACCAAAAUCAGCAAGCUUAAGAUUUCCUUCAUUAUCAAUCAAAAGAUUAGAGCCAGCUAACAUAAAAAUGAAAGGAAACAAAUGUGUCACGAGCUUCUACAGUUGCAAAGAUCAAUAUGUGACAUCUAGAAAAUUAAAUGAAAAGCAACAUUUGAUAUCUCUGUGAAGAGCUUAAUUAACAUGGCAGACUGGCAGUAAUGAAAACCAAUUGCAUAAAUUUCUCUAUACGCACAAAUGUAGGUGGAGUUAACACCAACGAAAGAAGAAAAAUUGCAUAAAAUUUCUCUAAAAAGAAGAAUAUAUAAAUUAUGAUGCAUCGGAGUAUGGUAUCUUUUAAUAAUAUUCUCAAAUUAGAAAAAUUUAAAAAAGAAAUAUGCAGGGCGGUUUGCGCGGGGCGGGGCGAUUUGAAAACAUCAAAUUAUACUUUGGGGCGGGGCGGGUUGAAACCGCAGGUUUACUCGGGUUUACCCUGCUACCGCCCGCCCCGCACCGUUUGUCAUCCCUACUCCUCUCUGCAAAUUUUAAAAUACAAAUAUCUUAGUCAUCAGUUUUGGUGGCAAAUUUUAAAAUACUUAUGAAAGAUACAAAUACCUUAGUUGAACUGGAGCAUUUAGUUCACACGUACGACCAAAAAAUUACACAAAAAGAAAAGACUCAAUUUAGGUUCUUGAAGGAAUUUACCCAUCAUUUGAAAUCGAACAAUUUUGUCGAUAUCUUCAUUCAUACUUAGUCCCAGACUCUGUCCCCACUAAUGACAAAAUAAAGUGGAAAUACCUUUGAAGAAGUGAAGAAGAGAAGGAUGGCUAAGGAUGACGUAUAAUAACGCUAAAAAGGUAAAAACCUACCAUCUUUGAGAAAUUUCUUCACAGUUUCAUCGAAAGGGGUAAAAACCUAGGAUCUUUGAGAAAGUUCUUCACAGGUCUGGAUUUUCAUCGGAAGUGGGAAGGUUUCUUGAUGCAUAUACAAUAAAGAGAAAAGAUUACAAUAAAAAAAAAGGAGGGGAAGAGAGGAAAGGUGUGACGGUUAAUGGAACCGGCCGUGGUAAGCGAGUAAAAGUUAAGAAGCGACUGUUGGUGGAAAAAAGAGAGAUAAAAAUGCUAAGCACAUUAAGCUAGGGUGUUCGUCCGUCGGUACAGUACGAUAUUUAGAUAUUUCGGUUCGAUAUUUUUGAUAUUCGGUUUUUUAAAAUUCUAUAUUAAUACCAUACCUAAUUAAAUUUGGUAUGGUUCGAUUUUUCUCCUUUCGAUUUUGGUUUAUUCGGUGCAUAAAGCCAUACACUCUAAUACUAUUAAUUAAAAUACUCAAAAAUACAANNNNNNNNNNNNNNNNNNNNNNNNNNNNNNNUUUAAUCUAAAAAAAAUCUUAAAAAAUUAUUACACAACAGUAGUAUCAUAUUUUUAUUUUAAUAUGAUAUUUGAAAAUACCAAAAUAAAUUUGUUUUAAUGGUUAGUUUUAUUUUAAUAAUUAUUUGAAUAGUAGGAAUAAUUAACAAAUGGGCCCAUAUUGUUAAUCUCAUUUACAGCGAAAGAAUAGAGCUGGGCUCGAGCAACCCAUCUUUAUGGCCUCAAUUUUGGACCUAGCCCCACAAUUGUCAAGCCCAUAAUUCCUCGGCUCAUACCCCUUAACCUAAAACCCUACCACUAACCUAGACCUAUAUAUAUGAAGCAAAGCCUAAAACUAAAGGAGGGGGGAACGAACAAAAAAAAAGGCUGCGCAUAAAAAUGAAAAACAAAAAGCUGCGGACCUAAAACGAAGAAAGCUUCUUCGUUUAAGAAGCUGGUACGAGCAGCAGCUGGAAAAAGCUGCGCAACACAGACGACCCCCCGACCAUCAUCUUCUCCAAACGACCCCCCCCUGUUCGCUUAUUCUUUCCUUCAGCAAACCAGAGCGAAAGUAGAACUAUACAAGCACGACCCCCACCCAUUUACAUCGUUCUCUUCGAUGAACCCUUUCCCCCAGAACACCGGCAACCCCUCGCCGGAAACCACCAGCCCUCAACCUGCGAUUUUUCUUCACAUAUCGGAAUUCAUGGAGGCGAGCUGCUCGACCUUGUUUUGAAGUCUAGCAUUUCAGUCCAAAGUUCAAGAAGUUGAGCCGAGGUGUCCAUCGUAGCCGAGUUCGAAGAGGUUUGGUCGAGUUUCGUUGAGGCUCCGGCGAAGCAUUCCGUUUUUCUGUCCGAAGCUCUGUUCGUUGUUGCUUGUUCCAUUCGAGGUCGUUGUUUGUCAUUCUGAGUUCGUCGAGGUUCGAAAGUUCCUGUUCUUCGCCCUUUGUGUUCAUUUCGUGUAUUUCUUAUAAUUAUGAUUCAACGUGAAGAUUUAUGUGAAUUUUUGUUACUUGUGAUAUUUUGAGGAAGAAUCUCAUUAAUUCUAGGUUACGUACUUUCCAGCCGUUUUACAAUGUAUAAGAUGUGUUUUGCUACUAGUCAUGGUAAAGUUUUCCGUUAUACUAACGAAUAGUUUACUGGAUAACGAAAAUGACGUUAAUUACAAGCCUUUUCUUGCAAAUGGAAUAGACCAAUUGGCUAUAACAUUAGAUGAACUUGGUCUUUCGUAUUUUGUUUACCAAUUGGCAAUUAUUUGUAUUACAUUAG